GCUGGACGCCCUGGGUUUCGAAUACCCUGAUUACGAAAAUCUGAACAAAGGUGCCGGAGGCCAAAAAAGGAAAAGGAUAACUGAAGCCUUAAAUGAAGAUGAAAAAGAACUACCAAAGAAGAAAAUUCUGAAGAGGAAAAAAGCGUCUUCUCCGAAGCGUAAAAUAUCCGACGAAGAAGAAACCCCCGCAUCACCCUCUGCCGCUGACGUUGAGGAAAUUCUGAAGGUAAUGACUGAAUCCUUACCUGCGAAGCUAAGUCCACUGGGGCCCCAACUGACAAAGUUUUUUCAGAAGGACAAGGAGCCCGAAAAAUCGAAGAAAAUAAUCAAAGCAAAGAGACAAAGAAUUAUCACUGUGACAGAAGUAAUUGACAAGACACCGCCAAGAGCUUCAGCUCAGAAAAUACCAGCGGCUGCGGAAGGUACAGAUAUUGAAAUUACACCUUCGGAGGUCGCAGCUGCCGAAGCUGCCUCGGCUGAAGAUUUGAACCUGGAGAGCACAAUCGAACACAUUGACAAAAUACUGCUAGACAUGGCUGCAGAAGAAGCUACCACCGCCGCCGAAGAGGCCGCAACCGCAGCGUCGGAGAAAGGGAAAGAAAUUGCUGAUGAGGCUUCGGAAAACGAAGCCUUCAUGUUCCAGAAUUUAGUUGGAGAACAACUAUCAAAAGCUGAAAUAGAAGAGCUUAGAGAGUACGCCAAAUCCUGCGGAUACAAACCUGGGGCACUCCUCUUCGGAGGCGCUGAUGAUGAAAAAUUAGAUUGUAUUCGAGAUCAAACUGGAGCCAAAGUUAUCGGUACUCUGUCCAAGAGUAUCGGCUUUCCGAAGCUAGAAACAGACAUCAGCCGCUACCGACGACAACAUAUCGUUGGUAGUUUAUUUUAUUCCAACUUCAAGGUGAACUACUUUUCCCUUAACUUUUAUUGUUUCUAAUAAUAAAAACAUGUCUGACGAAGGUCGUUUUCGUGCAGAGUAUGCUGUUGAGCAAAGCCUUGCAAAUGCAGCAAGAUUUUGAAGAUAAGAAGCACGAAGUUAUAAUUGAAAAUUUGGAAAGCAGAAUAAAGGAGCAAUCAGAUGCUUUCGAGAAAAAGAACUUUGAACUCCAGGCAACCGAAGGUUUAUUGGCGGAAGCUGAAGCAAAAAUAACAGAACUGAACACAAAGCUUCUCCGCCAGUCUGAGCAGUUCGAACGAGAAAAACAAGAUCUUAAUGCAAAACUUGAAGCCGAAGCUCAACAAAAUUCAGAUUUGAGAAAACUAUUGACGAGCCUUCAAGAAAAAUGUUUGGAAUUUAGCAACAAAUGCAUUCAACGAUUAAGAAAGAUUUUUCACUCAGUUGGAGCCAGCAGUGAAAAAUUCACCCCCUCAGCUAAAGAUCUACCGAAAACCUUCGAACAUAUUGAGGGUGAGAUUGACGAGCUCGACGAAGUCAUAGCUGGGCACGGUGACUUCUGUGCCUGGGUGGCUUUUCGGGGCACUGCUGCAGCUUUCCUAAAAGCUGGCUGCGAUCAUGGAAAGAUUGUCAAUAGGCCAAAUUUCACUUUAUCACCAUCAAUCCUAGAUGACAUUCCUGAUCUCGCCCGAAGUAUCUCUAAUAGAUUUGUGAAAAUGAUAUGGACAAAAGGUGGCCGAGAAAAAGCUGGAGACGAAGCUCGGAGUCACCUUGAACCUGUAAGAAACCAUACCUUACGCUUACCUCUUCCUGUAAGCUCGAUUUUUGCUUACGACAACCUUAUUCAUGUAGGAUGACGAAGCCGAAGCCGAUGAUUAAGAAAUGACGCUGAAGCUGAAGCUCCUUGGAGAUUAAAUAGUAGACUGUAGACAAUACUUGAGAAACUUUUGAGAUAACUUUUGUAAAUGUAACUAAAACUUGUCUUUAUUGAAUUCUGUUCAUACCUUGUAAUAUAUCCUUAUCCUUCCAUUGAUGUAUGAGAAGUGUUUUGAUGUGGACGAAAUUUUCUUUUUUGAGCCGAAGGCGAAAAAACACCUUCCCUUCUUUUCGUACGCAGCGAAGCAUAGAAAACAAUAUUUUCCUUCUUUCCGAAGCUCUCCUUUUUGUACACGAAGCUCUUUCUUCCCCUCUUUUUUUUCUUUUUGCCGAAGCAACCACUUAUGCCAUGAAGAUGAUUAUCCUACAUAUGCCUGGAUGAAUGUUUAUGAAUGCAAAUGAUAUGAUGUAAUAUGAUGUGCAAAUGAAUGGCCAAACACGUAUUCGAAGCCACACUCAUAGCCAUUAUUUCCUUAAAAACAAUCACACCUCAGCUCUGCAUUCCCUUAGGAACGACUUUGGAGCUUAUUCGCCUUUACUUUUGGCGGUAUCAGCGUUGACUUUUCGCUGUAAGCUCUGCAUUCCCUUAGGAACGACUUUGGAGCUUCUUCGCCUUUACUUUUGGCGGUAUCAGCGUUGACUUUUCGCUGUAAGCUCUGCAUUCCCUUAGGAACGACUUUGGAGCUUCUUCGCCUUUACUUUUGGCGGUAUCAGCGUUGACUUUUCGCUGUAAGCUCUGCAUUCCCUUAGGAACGACUUUGGAGCUUCUUCGCCUUUACUUUUGGCGGUAUCAGCGUUGACUUUUCGCUGUAAGCUCUGCAUUCCCUUAGGAACGACUUUGGAGCUUCUUCGCUUUUUACUUUUUGGCACUCGAUGGUGUGCUCUCAGCUUUUACAUUUACAUUCCUUGGGGGAUUUUGCUCUUAUAGAACUAAAAAAGGAAAUUACAUGUGAUGGCCCCAUUAAAAACCUUUCUCCCCCUUUAGAAAGGAAAAGGGUGCCAUAAGAAAGAAAAAACAUAAAAAAUUACAUCAAGUUACACAUAAUAUCGCCGAAGUUCAUCCGCAUUCCAGGAUCUAGGAAUGUCGUUGCCGUCCAUAUCCUUCAAUCUGUAUGAACCGGGUCUUGACGAAGAUGCUACUAAGAAAGGUCCGUCCCAUUUCAACUGCAACUUGCCAACAGUUCCUGGGUUGGCCACUCUCCGAAGCACCAAGUGUCCUGGCUCAAUAUUUUUUAGCCGAACCUUUCUAUCUCGCCAUUUGAUUGUUUCGGCUUGAUAUUUAUUGAUGUUCUCCACGGCUUGCAGCCUGAUCCCUUCUAAAGCAUCCUUUUCUACAGAAUAAGCAGCUUCGGAAUCUGAUUCUGCCGAAGCUACUACCCUUAUUGAUCCGGUUUUAGCUUCCUCCGGAGUUAUUGCUUCGUCACCGAAUAACAACUUGAAUGGAGUAAAGCCUGUAGACCUUGAUGUUGUUGUGUUGUGGCUCCACACCACUUUGGUUAACUGAUCUGGCAACUUUCCCCUGGGUUGAUUGAAGAUUAACUUCAUUAUUCCUGUCAUUAUAAUGUCGUUGGCUCUUUCCACGAGUCUGUUUGACUCCGGAUGCCUGACUGAUGCAAAAUGGAUCUUCGUACCAAUUUGGUCACAGAAAUCCCUGAAAGCUUCGGAGUCAAACUGUGUUCCAUUAUCCACAGUGAUAGCCUUUGGCACCCCGAAACGACAAACAAUAUUCUGCCAGAAAAACUUUUGGACGGUGGCCGAAGUUAUUGUGGCUAAAGGCUUUGCCUCAAUCCAUUUAGAAAAAUAUUCCACAGCCACUACAACAUAUCUCAGGUUCCCUUGGGCCGGUGGUAACGGACCUAACAAGUCAAGGCCCCACCUUUGCAAUGGCCAAGUGGGUUGUAUGAGCUGUGUUAAGGACGAAGGUUGUUUUUGAUCUCUUGCACAUUUUUGACAACCUUCGCAUUUUUGAACUAAUUCCGCUGCAUCCGAAGCUGCCUUCGGCCAAUAAAACCCUUGGCGGAAAAUUUUUCCAAGUAACGGCCUAGAUCCAAUGUGAGAUCCACACAGGCCUGCAUGUAUUUCUUUCAUUAACUCUAUACCUUCGGUUCUAGAUAAACACUUGAGUAGCGGAGCACAAACUCCAUGCUUGUACAACUCCCCUUCUAUCAUGACAUAUGGACGAGCUCUUGCCUCUAUCCUCCUGUUAUAAGCUUCGUCAUCUGAAAGAAAUUUACCCUGGAGAUAAGAGAUGAUCUCAGUUCUCCAAUCUUCGCUAUAAACAGGAGAUAUAUUGAGGACUGCUCUUUCAAGAAGUUCCACCGAAGGUGCUUUUAUUGUUUCGAAGAACACAUCCGAAGGUAAUGGCAGCCCCUGUGCUGCUGACUUAGCUAGCAAAUCAGCAUGCUCAUUUUGUCCUCGAGGGAUAUUUUUGACAGAAAAUCCUUCGAAGGAAGCUUCAACUCUUCGAACCAUAUCCACGUACUUUUCAAGCUUCGGAUCUUUAGCCUUGCAACUCUUGUCGAUAUGACCCGAAACAACUUGGGAAUCAGUUUUAAGAAUGGCCCUUCUGAUUCCCAUUGCUUUUAGCUUCCGAAGACCCAGAAGCAGGGCUUCGUACUCGGCAAUGUUGUUUGUGCAACUAAAAUCAAGCUUUGCCGCAUAACAAGUUUUAACUUUGGAAGGUGAAACCAACACAGCAGCCGCUCCCGCUCCGAAGGUUCCCCAGGACCCAUCGCAAAACACUGUCCAUGCUUCGGCGUCUUUAUUUGUUUCUUCCUCCUGAGCCCCUGGCGUCCAGUCAGCAAUGAAGUCUGCUAACGCCUGGGACUGAAUCGAAGAUCUAUGAACAUAUUCAAUACAAAAUUCAUUGAGCUCUGCAGCCCAUUUUCCAAUCCUUCCAGUAGCUUCUCGGUUCCUCAUAAUAUCCUUCAGAGGUUGUGAAGAAGGAACAAUUAUGUUGUAAGCUUGAAAAUAGUGCCGAAGCUUCCUGGAUGCCAUCAAAACAGCAUAUAACACCUUCUCUAAUUCUGUGUAGUUUUUCUUUGAUAUACUAAGAACUUCAGAUACGAAAUAUACUGGGACCUGCCUCCUGACUUGGCCAUCAAGCUUCUCCUGGACAAGUGCUGCACUUACCGCUGAGUGCGAAGCUGCCACAUAUAAUAAUAAAGGAGCCCCUGGCGUAGGUGGAGUUAGUGCUGUUAGAUCUAUCAAAUACUGCUUCAGCUCUUCGAAGGCCUUCUGCUGGAUUGGUCCCCAUUGAAAGACUUCGGCUGACUUCAGCACUUCGAAGAAUGGUAAGUUUCUCUCUGCUGAUCUGGAUAUGAAUCUAUUAAGAGAUGCCAACCUUCCUGUCAAUCUUUGAGCCCCCUUUUUUGUAGUUGGUGGCUCCAUCCGAAGUAUAGCUUCAAUCUUACUUGGAUUAGCUUCAAUUCCCUUUGUUGAAACCAAGCAUCCUAGAAAUUUCCCCUUCUUGACUCCGAAGACGCAUUUUUCUGGAUUCAACUUUAAGCCAGCUUGUCUGAAACUGGCGAAGGUCUCCUGCAGGUCAGCAAUAUGAUUCUCCUGCUUCGUGCUUUUUACAAUGAUGUCAUCAACAUAAGUUAGCACAUUUCUGCCUAUCUGAGACUGGAGAACCUUCGCAGUCAUUCUGCUGAAACUUCCUCCAGCGUUUUUGAGCCCCUCAGGCAUCCGAAGGUAACAAUAUGUGCCACUUGGAGUUAUGAAGCUAGUCUUCGGCUCAUCUUCCUUCUUCAUCCAGAUUUGAUGAUAGCCUGAAUAACAGUCUAACAGACUCAUGAGCUCUGAAGAAGCUGCUGCAUCAAAUAAAGAGUCUAUCCUUGGCAGUGGGAAUUCAUCCUUCGGACAAGCCUUGUUAAGAUCUGUAAAAUCGAUACACAUUCGCCACUUGCCAUUGGCCUUUUUUACCAUAACAGUGUUAGCUAGCCAUUCUGGGUACUUCACUUCUCUGAUAACUCCUGCACUGAGGAGUCUUUUGACUUCGUUGCGAGCACCUUCGGCCUUAUCAUCUGACAUUUUCCGAAGCCUUUGCUUUCUGGGUCUGAAGGAUGGGUCGACAUUGAGCGAGUGCUCAAUAACAUCCCUAUUAACUCCGCAGAGAUCAUUGGCUGACCAUGCAAAAACAUCUUUGUUGUUGAACAAAAACCUUAUUAAGGUUUUCUCUUGUUCUUCGGAUAACUGAGAGCCCAACAGCACCUUCUGCUCUGCUAUAUCCUCACAUAAGAGCAUGGGCUUCGGCUGAUCUGCUGAAGCUGCUUUCUCCCUUCUGAAUUUGUAUUGUUCACAAGCUUCAGCUCCAUCUAUGUUAUGGAUUGCUUUUGAAUCAGUCCAGUUUCCUUCGGCCCUUCUGGCAGCUUCCUGGCUUCCAUGAAUAGCGAUGGGUCCUUGAUCUGAAGGUAUCUUCAUGCAAAGAUAGGCAGGGUGAAGAAUUGCUUCAAAAGCAUUGAGGGUGCCACGACCAAUAAUUGCAUUGUAAGGGUAUUCCAUGUCAACAAUGUCAAACACAACUUGCUCAGUUCUAGUGUUGUUGAUGAACCCGAAGGUCACUGACAUGGUAAUCUUGCCCAGUGCUACAAUCUGUCUUCCUCCGAAGCCACAGAGAGGAUGUGUAGCAUCAUGAAUCUUAUCUUCUGGCUCUUGCAUUUGUCUGAAGGCCUUAGCAAAUAUGAUGUCAGCUGCACUUCCUGUGUCAACCAAGACAUUGUGGACCAGAAAUCCUUUGAUAACACAAGAGAUAACCAUGGCAUCGUUGUGUGGGUAAUCCUUGAGCUGAAGGUCCUCUUGGGAGAAGGUAAUAGGAAUGUGAGACCAUCUUGACUUGAUGAAGGGUCCUUGCACCCCAACAUGAUGUACCCUUCUCUGUGCUUCCUUCUUUAGUUUCUUGUUAGCUGGCUCUGAGGACGAGCCACCUGUGAUCGGGAGCACCAGCUUCGGGUCCGAAGCAGCUCCAGCUUGGCCGUUGAACGAAGCCAUCAGCUCAAAAAGUGGAAGUGAGUUCACCCACGGUGGGCGCCAAUGUUGGGGACUUGUUCUCAAGUGCUAUGAAUUAAGAACAAGGCAACAUAAAAUGUUAAAUGUUAACGUCCUUCGUCCAUGAAACAUUAUUCCCCUGAGGAUAAUGGACCUUGGACGAAGGUUGAUAAGAGUAAAAUUACGAAGCUUAAGUCUUCGUAAUUAAAUUUUAAUACAUAUUGUGAGAUAACAUAAAAUAGGAGGUAUAAAAAAGAUAAAUAAGUCAUAGACGAGUUAUGUUAUAUUUACUUUAUAUAUUGAAUCAUUGAAUACAAUAAUACCUCUGCCUUGGCAAAGGUUGGAUUCCGAAAGAUGCGGUUGCAAUUACCAGAAUCCGUGAACAGUAAAGGAAUACUGUUCACUAUUUAUAGGCACAGGGCGCAGCCUGUGAGGAAUUACAAGUAUGCCCCUUAUAAAAGUUUACAACAUUGACUCAGACCUUUAUGGACUAAAAGGUCAUUCUAUCUUUAAGUCGGUUUGUAAUACCGAAGCUUCAUGAAGAGGAACCUUCGGCCACCUUAUACAAACAGCUUCAGCCGAAAGCCGCUUCUUCCUAGAAGACCUUCGGCGACGAAGCAUAGGCCCAACAGCUGGCAGCACCAGGAUACGCAGUGGUGGUCGCGUCAGAGACCACCCCCGCGGACGUCGAGGCCGGAGGCAGCGUGGCACCGCUGGCAGCAACCUGGGGCAAGGAGCCAACAGGGGCAGCGGUGCGAGGAGCCGUGGUACCUGAAACAUGUGAGACACCAGGAAAAAUAACAGGGGCAGCAUCCAACUCUGAGAGAAAAUCAAAGUCAGAGGAAGGAGGCGAAGAGACUUCGGAAAAGGGAAAUGAGGUCUCAUCAAAAAUGACAUGACGCGAGAUGAUAAUUCUAUUGGUAGAAAGAUCAAGACAGCGAUACCCUUUAUGUUCGGAGGGAUAGCCGAGGAAGACACAGGCAGUGGAGCGCGGGGCUAGCUUGUGUGCAGCGGUGGAGGAAAGGUUGGGGUAACAGCGACAACCAAAGACACGAAGAUGGUCAUAGGAGGGUUGGGUUUUGAAUAGGACAAAGAAAGGUGUGGCCGAGGCCAAGGUUUUAGUGGGAUGGCGAUUGAGAAGAUAGGUGGCAGUAUGAAGAGCCUCAACCCAGUACGACGGAGGCAUGCUGGCUUGGAAUAGAAGAGAGCGAAGGAUAUUAUUAGUGGUGCGAAUGAUGCGCUCGGCCUUGCCAUUUUGUGGCGAGGUAUGGGGGCAAGACAUGCGGAGAGUGACACCAUGUGUGGCAAAGAACGUGCGGGAGGAGGAGUUAUCAAACUCACGACCAUUAUCGCACUGGAUGCUUUUAAUGGUGACACCAAACUGGGUGGAGACAUAGGCAAAAAAUUGAGUGAGAGUAGAAAAUGUGUCAGACUUGAGACGCAAGGGGAAGGUCCAGAGAAAGUGAGAGCAAUCAUCAAGAAUGACUAAAUAAUAUUUGUAGCCAGAAAUACUAGGAACAGGGGAUGUCCAAAGAUCACAAUGGAUUAAAUCAAAAUUAUUGAUUGCUCGCGAACUGGAGGUGGGAAAGGGGAGACGUACAUGACGACCUAAUUGACAAGCAUGACACAAGUGUUCGGAAUCACUCUUAUUGCAAGAAAUAGCACAUGAUGACACGAGACUAGACAAGGCCUCAUGACCGAGAUGUCCAAGACGCCGAUGCCAAAGAGUGGAUGAAGAGACGCCGGCAGUGAGUGCCAAGGGCUGAAAAACCGAUGAUAGAAGCGGGUAUAGCGGACCGGAACUAUUGCACCUGACGAUCACGUUCCGGGUUUUGAGGUCCUUCACAGAAAAGCCAGAGGGAUCAAAUUCAACAGAGCAUUUAUUGUCAAUAGUAAACUGUCGAACGAAAAUGAGAUUUUUAAUGAGGUGAGGAGAAACAAGAACAUUAUUUAAAUGAAGAGGACCACAUAUGGCAGGAAGGGUGGCAGAGCCGGUGUGAGUGACAGGUAAAAGAGAACCAUUUCCAACGACAAUAUUGGACGGAGUAGAAAAAGAAGGAAGCUGCGAGGUGCAAAGAUUACCGGAGUUGGAUGUCAUGUGAGUUUCAGCACCUGUAUCCAUAUACCAUUCAUUUGUUGGCGGUGGCUGAAGCGUCAUCGUGUUGAAAUUUGCAGCCAACAUGUUGGCGUCCCAGGAGAAGGCGCCAGGAUGUUGCAGCCAUCCUGGUGGUGGCGGGUUGGCGCCGAUGAAGCCUGGUGGAGCCGGCUGGGAUGGCCCAGGCGGGGACGCCAGGAGGCCUGGUGAAGCAGCCGUCGUAGGCGACCCAGGAAGCACGGAUGGGCCGGCGUAGAAAGUCUGCGGAGGUGGGCCUGGGGCGCGCGGCGGGACGCCUGGUGGUCCUGGCGGGCCGGCCCAAUACGCCUGGAAAGUGCCAAAUGCAGGUUGCCAGGGUGUGGGCCGUGGCGGCUGGCCAGCCCAAGUCGCGGUAGGGGGCACAGAACCAGGACCGCGACCUCCAGAGGUUUUCUUGCCGCCGCCGCCACGCCUUGUCUGCUUGCGUCCACCGCCGCCGGAUCCACCGCUGUUGUGCGGAGAAGGAGGGGCCGAGGCAGCGAAGGCCUGAGGUGGCUGGGCAGACUUGGCAGCCAUGUUGAUUUCGGCGAGGCGAAGAUCGGACUUGACUUCGGCGAACGUCGGGAACGGACGUUGACGCUGGAUCAGCGCGCCGAGGUAGGAGAACCUGUCGUUGAGGCCCCGAAUGACGUUGAGCACCAACGUACGGUCGCGAACGGGUUCGCCGAGAUCUGCAAGCUGGUCAGCCAUGGACUUGAGCCGGUGGCAGUAGUCGAAGAUGGACAGACCGCCUUGGACGAAGGUGCGGAACUCGGCGUCGAGGAGAAGAGCGCGACUCUCCUUGUUCCCAAUGAACUGCUGCUCGAGACCGAGCCACACGCGACGAGCAGUGGGAGGACCAUCGUCCCGGUUCAUGACAACCUCGAGGAGCUCGGGAUUGAUGGUGCCGUAGAGCCAGGACAAGACAGUGCAGUCCAUGCGUUUCCACAUGGCGUCGGCGGAGCGGUCGUCGUCGGAAAGCACAUGAUCAACAAGCGCAUAGCGCUCGAGAGUGUUGAGGAAGAGGCCACGCCAUCGAUUGUAGUGGGGCGAUGUGAAGUCGAGGACGAUGGGAACGAGAGACUUGACGUUGAGGAUCGCUGCUGCUUGAGCAUGAAGAGCGGCAGUAGCCGCAGCGACCUCACCGGCGAUGACCAGGGCAUGGGCAUCGGCGUCGCGGCGUUCCUUCUCCAAGCGCGCGGCUUCGCGACGCUCGGCCUCGAUGCGCGCAGCCUCCAGGUGCGCAGCUUCUUGGCGAGCAGCCUCGCGGCGUUCUUCAGCAGUAAAGGCGGCGACGCGCUGCUCCAAAGCACGGCGAGCAGCAGCAGCUGCGACUUCGUCGUCGGCCAUGGCAGCGAGAUGGCGUGGUUAGGAAAGGCGGAAGCGAUGGUUCGGAACGAACCUCUGUGAUACCAUGAUAGUCGAAUUAUUGUUGUAUUAUUGAUUAACAAGACCAACAAUAUAUAGACUAGGCUCCAACCGGUUCAUAGAAACAGUGUCCGGUAGAGAUGGACGGUGAUCACCUGAUUAGUACCUUCUAAGUAUAGUCAUGCACUAGAGAUGGAAGGUGAUCACCUUGCCAUGCACGUAUACAACCUUGCCAUGCACGUAUACAAUAAUGGUGGCAUGCAAUAGUAAAACAAGGAAGAUGAUCAAUCUAAAUAUAGUAAUCCAACAUGUUCAUCGUAGAGUAUCCCAGAUGUGAUCGGCUACGAAUUGUUUCCACGAGUCUCCUGUUUUUGCUUGUAUGAUUAGUGCGUGCACUGCAAGUCGUUCAGAAGAUUCAUGAUGAGCCGUUGGUUACACUGACGGCGGGCUUGUCAGGAAUGGUUGCUCGAGAGAAGAUGGGGGCACCUGAGCAGGCCGCUGCUUUGCAUCUGAGCAUCUCUCUUCUUUGAAUCUUUGGUAUCAUAUGCGCAGGAUGUCAUCACUCAUGAAAUGCGGUGCAGGCGGCUUCCUUCUGCAUCUCUCAAUUCUCAAAAGUGAACGAAGAGAUGAAAUGCGGUGCAGGCCGAGACGCAAGUAUCUAUUCCCCACUCCACUAGUUAAAUGCCUAUAAGGACUGCUUAGAUCUUUUCAUUUUAGAGGAAUUAAAAUUUACUUUAUGGAUUAUGUUGUUUGGCUUAAAAUUUAAUGUUUUAUGAUUUUCAAAUUUUAGAUAUAAGUCUAUCUUAAAUUUGUGGCAAGAGAAAUAAUUUGUUUCGGUAGAUUCACUUGCUGUGUUACAUCUGUAUAAUUUAUUACAUCUGGAUAAUUUAUGACAUGCUGUUUGGUUCAUUCACUUGAGACAUAGACAUGAAUACAAUACAUAAGGAUCUUUUAUACAUGGUCAAUAGUAGUAUACAUACUCUGCAUGCAGCUAUAUUAACAUAAUUGAUCUUGUUGUCAUUAGGACAUGUAAGUACCCAAUAGAGAGAACAUAGAUGUAUAGAGCGAGAGGCGUAGUGUAAAGACAUGAUGAUCCUAGAUACAACUAUAUUUGACGAUAUUAAACUAGGUGAUUCAUGGGCUAUUUGGCAUAACAAGCCAAGCUCAUAAAGGACGACGUAAGAGUCAGACUAGAGCGACACUCUAACAAACUAUUAUUCCACAAUAGUUUCUCUUCAUAAAAUCUCUCGCGGGGAAUGAGGAAUGAACACAAUAAUCCCUUCCAAGAACAAUAGUAGCUGACAACAAUCCUCAAUAGUUGCUCAAAAAUCCUAAAAUCAUCAAGCCAGCUGGGUAAUGAUAAUCACCAAAAAUAGCAAGAGUAUAACCAACUCAACCCACUCCACCAAUGCCACAAGAUGCAUAACACUACACAACGGACUAGGAGUGCUUCAAUCUCACCCAAAUAAUUAAUUAUGUGUUCCAAGUGAGUGGAGUGUAUUUUUCAAUCCUCAAGAUGUGUAUGCUAGCGUUACAGUUACAGGUUAUGAUGUCAUCCAAAGCUGGCUAAGCGGUAUAUUUAUAGCCUCUCAAAGAAAUCUAACUGUCACACUAUAUUCUAUAUGUGAUAUGUAUCUAAAUCGUUGUUAUUAUAAUAGAGUUUAAUUUCAAGGAUCCUAGAGAGUGUUUGGUUCUAGAGACUAAAGUUUAGCCCGUGUCACAUCCGAUAUUUAAAUGACUAUUACAAUUAUUAAAUAUAGUCUAACUAUAAAACAAAUCACACAUAUAAAGAUUAAACGACUAGACCAAAAUUUUAAGCCUAAUUAAUCAAUGAUUAACAAAUAUUUAAUGUAGCAUCAUAUGAUCGAAUCAUUAGCUAAUUAGACUUUAAAGGCCCAUCUUACCAUUUAAUUCUUAUCUAUGUAAUUAUUUUUGUAAUUAGAUUAUAUUUAAUACCUCUAACUAGUAUUAAAACAUCAGAUGUGAUGAGCUAAAAUUUAGCCCGGAGCAAUAUAUUCUCCUUACCUGACCGAUGAGAGGUGACUUCGUACCUAAGUGAUAAGUAUAUUCUUGAGUAUGAGAUGAAUAAUUAGUCUCGAUCGGGCUUGGUAUUCGUUUCCCUCUAUUAUUUCCCACUGCAAUUGAACUUGCUUUACAUCCAAGCAGCUACGGAUACAGUUUACAGUCCAAAUGCCCUUCUAGACCAAUGCUAAAAAGGCGAAGCAAGCACACACAAUCAGGCCCGGCCCUGAGGGUAGGCAGGGUAUGCCGCCGCUCAGGGCCCCCAAAGUUAGUAGGGCCCCCAGUCCGACCUAAAUAGAUAUAUACUCUUAUAUAUAUGUAUGGUAUAUAUUUAUUCUAUUCCCAAAAUCUCUAGCCGUUGCUCGCUGGUAACCAUUGUUAAAGAUAUUGCAAAUGAUUUUGGUGUAAAUACAUCAUUUCCAAUAAAGCAUAAAGCGGUGAGAAAGAAACAAUUUGAUGAAAGUAGGUGCCACGAAGAAAUUCUAGAAAAUGAGAGAGCUUUUCAAGUCAACUAUUUUUUGGUAUUAGUUGACAUGGCGAGCACUUCUUUGAGGACCAGAUUUGAAGAACUCUCCAUGUUUAGGUAUAUUUGGGUUUUUAUUGAGCUCAAGCACACUAAGCUCACUAAAUGAUAGAGAACUUGAAGAGUUUUGCACUAAAUUUGCAAACACUUUCUCUCAUGAUGGUUCAUGUGAUGUUGAGUUAAAUGAUUUGAUUUCUAAAUUGAAUAUUCUAAAGUUUACUUUGCCUAACGACACAUUAUCUGUUGUGGAGAUUUUUGAGCAUAUCAGAGUUGUGGAUUGUUAUCCUAAUGCCUCUAUUGCUUAUAGAAUAUUAUUUACUGUGUUUGUUACUAUUGCAUCUGGUGAAAGAAGCUUCUCAAAAUUGAAGUUACUUAAUAAUUAUUUAAGAUCAGCAAUGAGUCAAGAAAGGUUGAAUGGUUUGACGCCUUUAUGAUCGAGAAGAAGCUAUUGAAUGAUAUCGAUAUCAAUAGUAUAAUCGAUGAUUUUGUAUCAAAAAAUGUUAGAAGAAAUUUUAUAAGAUGAGAAGUGACAAGUAAAUUUUUAUUAUUUCAGCCAAUGUUAUUUUAUAAACAAUAAUGUGUAAUAUUCUAUAUUACAGUAACUUAUAUACAGUUUCUUUACUGAUAUGUAUUUAGUAGAUAUGUAGAUGAUAUAUACAUAUACCUAGUUAUAUGGGGCCUCUAUAUAAAUUUUUGCUUAGGGCCCCCGAAAUGUCAGGACCGGCCCUGCACACAAUACAGGCAUCUCUCUCCUCGCGAAGUCGACGCUCGACGAUGAACAUGCCAUUCCUCACUCCACUUGUGCGCCUCCACGCUAUAAAAGCGCACCCGAUGAACGCUAGCAUGCAUCCACCAUCACACAGCAAUCCACACAAGCACUUCGACGUCGCACGGGCGCUGCACACAGACACACCAAGCGUCGGCACCAAUGGCUUACUACCAGGAGGUGGACUACUGCUCGGAGGAGGUGAGGUCGGUGGCCCCGGCCGGCUUCGGCCGCCACGGAGGCGGCGUCCAGCAGCACGUCGUCAAGGAGAAGUUCGAGGAGGUCGACACGGUCUCACGCGCCGGCGCCAACCACCACCACCACCACCAUGGUCACCACGGCGGCCACGGCUUCGUGGUGCGCGAGACCAGGGUCGAGGAGGACAUCAACACCUGCACCGGCGAGGUCCACGAGCGCAGGGAGAGCUUCCUCGCCAGGGCUAACUGAGCCGCCCGGCGGCCGGCAUCCACGCCCGUUCGUGCCUGCCUGCGUGCCUUAUGUAUGUCUGUGGUUGACUGGUUGUGCAGGGUCAUCGUACUUGGCUAUCGUACGUGCACGCACUCAGCUCCUGUACGAAUUACGACAAUAAGCUCGUGACCUGAAUAAAACUUCUUCGUAAUACUAAUACCUACAUCACCACGCACAUUCUCUGUGUCAAAAAAAAGGAAUGCAAUUUUAAAAUAGUACUAAGCCAACAAACGAUCAUAAAUCUAACCGAAUUUAUAUUUAAAAAUAUGUUAAUAUUUAUCAUACUGAAAAAGUCUUAUUAUAUCCGUCAGUCAACUGGCUAGUAUUUGGUUUAGCCUUUGGAAUUUUCAUUCUGUUUCGACGACAUCAAACUUACACAACCGACUGAACGACCGAUGUCUGAUGAUUCUACCAAGUGAGGAGGCCUAAGUGAUAUGACGCUUGGUUUCGACCUUGGAAUGAGCAUACUACUUGCCAGAGACAGGGAAGAUGAUGGCAACGAUUCAAAGACGACGAGUUUCUUAUCAAGAAAGUAAAAAAGAGGAACAUAAAUGGGGUGUUUGCUUGUAAUGACUAAAGUUAAGCCGGUGUCAUAUCAAUUGUUUGAAUGUCUAUUACAAAUAUUUAAUAUAAUUUAAUUAUAAAGCUAAUUAUACAACUAAAGACUAAGCGUCGGGACAAAAUUUUUUUAUGUCUAAUUAAUAAACGAUUAGUAAAUAUUUACUGUAGCAUCACGUGACCGAAUCAUAAACUAAUUGGACUUAAAAGACUUGUCUCACCGUUCAGUUCUUAUCUUUGUAAUUAGACUAUCUUUGUAAUCACGUGACCGAACCAUAAACAAUUUUUAAAUCUAAUUAACAAACGAUUAUCAAAUAUUUAUUGUAGCAUCGUAUGUCGGAAUCAUAAACUAAUUAGAUAUAAAAGACUUGUCUCAUUGUUUAGUCUUUAUCUAUAUAAUUAUUUCUGUAACUAGACUAUGGCCCUGUUUGGAUCCUUCAAGCCCGGCUAGAGCUAGAGCUAGUUUCUAGCUCUAACUCUAGCCCAAACUAGCUCUAGCCCUCUACGUGUUUGGAUCCAAGGGCUAGUUUACAAUAAAUGCUAUUUUAUAAUCAUUUGUCUCAUUUAAACUUUUCCUUAUCCGGAUUUAGUGUGGCAAACUCUUGUACGGCAAGGCAAGGCAGGCAGCUCCACUACCUUUCCAUGGACGGCAAGGCAGGCAGGCAGCUCGCCAUGGCCGCGGCGCCCUGCCCCCAUGCUCGCGCGCCCUGACUCCUCGCUGCGGCGCCCUGCCCCUAGCCUGCGUCGACCCCAAGCCACGGCGGCGUGUCGACACUCAACCAAGGAGGCGCCGGGCCCCAGCCAGGGCGGGCGGCGCGUCCAUCCCCAGCCAUGGCUGGCGGCGCGGCUCCCCUAGCCAGGUCGCGGCACGGAAUCCCACCCCCACCGGCCAUGCAUCAAGAAAAGAGGGAGGAGGAGGCUGAGGGAACGGAGGGAGGCGACGGCUGACCUGCUCGAGGACGGCGACGUUUCUUCGGUUCGAGGACGGCACUUCCCUGCGUAUCGAAGAAAAGAAACGGACCCAGGAACGUGCGGAUCCCGUGCGGAAGGAUAAGAGAGAAAAAAGGAUUUUGGUGGGCCUUUCAACAAACUAGCCCCAAUAAUCACCCCUUGGUGGGGAGAGUUUUUUGGGGUGGGCUAGUUGCAAAAAACUAGCUCUAGCCCUCCUGUUUGGCUACUUUUGGGCUAGUUUAGCCCAAACUAGCCCAAACUAGCUCUAGCCCUUGGAUCCAAACAGGGCCUAUAUUUAGUACUUCUAACUAGUAUUUAAACAUCCCAUGUGGGGCUAAAAUUUAGCCCCCUCCAACCAAAUACCUCGAAACUUUUUCCACUUGUCGUUGUUUCUCUAGUCUAAACAUUUUUAUUUACUAACCAACAACUUUUCUCUCCCGUUGGUUUAGGGUGUGUGCUGGGUGUGGGGGCAGGGUUGUUUAUAUAUCAUGUGCGCAACAGUGCAUCUAAGGGUGAAGAGUGUGAAGACUCAAACGUGUGUGCUCUUCCUUUUUCCUACACUAAGAACCCAAUAAUAACAUAAGUUAUGAUCCAGUUGCACAUAAGAGUUUUUCUUCCUAUUUGGCACCAAAAUGAGCGUGCGGACGGUCCGGCUCUGAGGCCGGACAGUCCGCAGUCCAGACAGUCCGCGCCUGUGGGCCAGACGGUCCGCGCGUGCGCAGAGCAUAUUAAGGUUCCGAGUUUUGUGCUACGGUUGUUAGCUAUAUUCGCGAAAUUAGCUCAGAAAUCAGUUGUGUAAAGGGUCCAGCCCCCCUCUAUAAAUAGAGAGAUAUACAGCCGAUUUGGAAUCAUCAAUCGAAUAAAAAACACUUCUAUUUCACAUUUAUUUCCUAGGAGUAGUUAUAGUCUAGUUCUAGUUUAGCCUUCCGAUCCCCAAAUUCUUCGCUUCUCUUCGACUCUACGUCGAUUAGAGGAGUCUAGGUUGGCCUGCCCGAGCCUAGACAACUCCUAGGAUCUCUCCUCCCCGACGGGGUCCCUCCCGGGAGCGAGAUCCAGGCGCCGCCGGCGAUCUUCCGCCGCCCCUGCGCACGCGCGGACCGUCUGGCCGUCAGGCAGGAACCCUAGCCUCGCACCAGUCCACGGACCGUCCGACCCCUGCGCGCGGACCAUCCGCCCCUAUGCAGAGAGCACCACCGCUUGUUCGUGUUGAGUGUUUGGCGCCCUAAAAAGGUGUCAACACUUCCUUUCCUUUUCUAUUUGUUUCUUUCAAUCAAAACAAUGAAUACACAUUAUUUGAGCUUACUACAUACAAUUUAACUUUUAACGAAAUAGUUUCGAUUCAAAAAUAAGUUUAAUGGAAAUGUAGAGGAUUGAAAAAUAAUACGGAAAACAGAUCUUCCAAAAAAUAUCCACUUAAAAAUUAGAUGCUUCAACUUUAAAAAAAAUCACCUUAAUUGAAAAAUGUACUAGUAAAUGUGAUUUUUCUACAAAAUGUAACUUUUGAACACGUUCCUCCUUAAAUGAAAUAUUUUCUCAAAGUAUAUGUGAUAUGUUCCAUAAAAUGUAACUUAUAAUUCUAGCUUAGCUAAAUAAAACAUACCUUAGUUGAAAUGUUUUAAACCUACAUAAUAUGAUUUUUCGUAAGGUCUAAUUUUUAAAAAUGUUCUAGAAAUAUCCCGUUUCAACAAAACAAUCUUAUGAAGCUCUAUGUGAUUUGCUCCUAGGAUAAAUUGUCUAUUGAUUUUUUAAUUAGUUUCACGACAAUGACCGAACAAAGAGAAAUAGUGGAUAUUGUUAUAAGCACACAUAAAAAUGAUGUUCGAAACCGAGGAAAAAUCCACAAACCAAUAGAUGGUGUGAAAAUAUAGUACUCCAUCUAUUUCAAUUUAUAAGAUACUUUUAGUUACAUUAAUUUUAUUGUGUACCUAGACAUAGUGUAUAUCUAAGUGUUGGUGUUUUGAACACGAGGAUUCUAACCAACUAGUAAAUUUGUGCUGCAUGCCUUGUCCCGGAUGGUUGAUGCAAGAAGACACACAAGGUUUAUUCUGGUUCGAGCAAGAGAAGGCCCUUCAUCUAGUGGGGAAGGAGACCUGUAUUAUCUUGCACCUAAGUGCUCGUAGCACAGGAUACAAGCAAGUCGAGAGAGUGAGUGAGUCCCAAGUCUCUGAGUAUGAUUGAGGCGAGUGCCAAUAUCAAGAGUGGGGUGAGGAGUGAACGAUGAAGUGUUGUCCUCGACCUACCUAUAGAAGGUAUCAGGCUCCUCCUUUUAUAGUCGCAAGGAGGAGACCUAGGUGUACAGGUGUUGCUAUAACAUUGUUGUGGUCGAAGGAGGUGUGUCCAAGCCCUGUAGCGGUAUGGCCGACGGGAAGGCCCUCGCCCUUGUUGUCGUCUUUGGUCAGGAGAAGGACAUCCGAUCUUUGUAGCUUGUUCCUUUAACUAGGUAGAGAGUCAAGGUCGGGUUCGAGAGCAUGGGCGUGUGUUCGAGCUCAGUCUGUAUAAGGGUGCGGAUGAGACGUUUCCAAGUGUGUCGAGAUGGAGUGGUUGAAACACUGCUCGACAUGGUUAAAAAAAAUUGUGUGGUAAUAUGUUCCGGGCGUCAUCCUGGACAGAAAGUAGAUUGGACAUCAGUCUUAUUGUUUUUGUAGCCUUCCUUCUUCAGUGGGGUUCACGGGAGAGCAGGUGGCAUUUAAUGUUCGUGCUUCUCUGUAGGGGCAGUUGGCCGAGGUCAGGCUCGGGCGAUGCGAAGAUUUCUUCUAAGGCCGAGGCCGAGAUUAAACGAUGUAUGUAGUCACGCUCUCGAUGGUUGAAACAGUGGCCAGAGUGGGGAAUAAUAUCCUGUAUUUACGCUCUGACCAUUGUCGUGGGUGGUAAAAGUAGAUUAGACCGUGAUCGUGUUAUCCUUUGUUGACUUCGGCACCUUCAGCAGGACAGGUGGUCGUACGAACUACAUUAGAUACACAUGCUCCGAGACGUCCUUUGGCGAAUUAGAAAUGCAUUUCCCGCCCGAGGUUGGUCUCGGACGAGUCGUGAUUUAGGUUUUGUGUGGUCUUGGUAAGGUUGGGAGCGUGUUUUCUCAUGACCCCUUCUUACCCCAAGCGUCUAGGCAUUUUAGGGUUCUGAUCUGGGUACCCCUAAUUUUGGUACCCGACACUAAGCAUAUAGCAAAAACCAUGUAUCUAAAAAAUGUAAACAUCUUAUAAUUUUAAAUAGAGGGAGUAUAAAAUACGAAAACAAGAAAAUUUUAAGCCGCAUGAGGAUUUGUGAAGGGACACUAUAAGAAAAAUAAAAUUGUUGACAUAGAAUUGGAUCACACACCGAUGUAUCAAAAAGCUCACGCUUCCCAUAGUUUUUGUUAGAGCCCAUCAUAUGAAUGUCCUUUGUAUAUGGGCUAAUCUCCCAAUAGAACUCAUAAUUUAUUUUGGAAAAGCUGGAAAACCAUAUUUGUUUUUCGCUAGUCUCUCCUCUCUUUUUGCGAAGGAACCACAUUGUAGCUUGUGAUUUACUUAUGGACAUUUCUUUCAAAAAAAAACUCGACCUGCGCGGGUGAGACAACUAGGGCAUUGUAUUAAGAAGACUUUUAUCACAUAGGUCGAUGAAACUUCUGAACCUCUGUGCUACUCAUACACAGCGACACUGUAGCUCAUGUGAGAACGAUCACAGCCGGAGCCGGAUCUUAGACUUGUGCUUUGGCGUGAUACAGAUAAGAAUUUUUUUUAUCACAACUUGAAAAUUUGCCCACACGAAGAGUCACCCAUGACCUGAGAAAUGCUACUCAUACCACCUAACCAACUCGGUUAGAGACACUUUCACAACAUUUUUUAACGAAAGGACAAUAACAAAUAUGGAGUACUAGGUAUGUGCCCGUGCGUUGCGACGGCGUAUAAAUUAUUUGAUAAAUGUUAGUGCACAGCGAUCACACGAAAAUGAACAACAUAUAUAUCAUCAACCCUAAUAUCUCACAAAUUCACACUAAUAACAUGAAAUGUGUGUGCAACUCAAAUAGUGAUAAUUUGUUUCUUAACAUGCCACCAAUAUUUACAACCGACGACGGUGUCCUCCGCAGAGACAAUGUUUGAGAGAGCCCAUACUGUCUUAUACUACAGUCAUAAUAAAAUCUGAAAAGAAAAGGUAAGUUUUCAUCGUAAAACCCAAAUAAUAAAGUAAACCAAAUAAUAAAGUAGAGGUAGCGCAUUUCAAGUUUUUGGAUAUCUUUAUUCACUAAUAAAAAAGGUGGGAAUAUACAACUGGCCAGGUUAGUCAGGUUCUUCAGUUAAGGAGGUAUUGUCCCACUUAUGUUGUUGUAAAGCUCCCUAGUACAAAAAAGAAAUAUAAAUAAAUUUUUAUAUGCAAAAGGUCCAUUACAAAAUUAUAAAUGGCAGUAUUAAAGCAAUGUUGACCUUUUCAACAACAAUUUAAGUAUGUGUGGACAUUCAGAACACUCAGAAAGAAGACAACAUGUCAGGAUUACUUGACACUAGUCCUGCAAGUUUGGGCCGUGCUUACUGGGCCAGCACGAGCCCGGCACGAAAUAGAAGGCACGCAGCCCGGCCCAGCACGAAUUAGAAAAAACCGGGCUAGCACGACACGUUAGACGGGCUGGGCCGUGCUUCGACUGGUGGCCCGACGGCCCAAAUAGCCCGGCACGCCUUCGUGGGCCGUGCUCGGGCCAGCCCGGCACGCCUUCGUGGACUCGCGUUAUUUAUUGGCGGCGGCUCUCGGUUAGGGUUGAGCGACGUUCCUGUGGCGGCGCCGCAGCUGCUCUCGGUCCCUUCAGUUCUCCUCCUCCCUCAGUUUCUCCGCUAGUCCGCUCAUUCUCUUCCGACUUCCGCCGUUCCGCGAGUCCGCGACUACGAACACCGCCCAGCCAACCGCCGCUCCUUGCCUCCUCGGUUCCCUUGUUAGAGGCGUGCAGGUAGUUUCUCUGGCAGGAGUCUUCCUCUAGCAGCGGCAGCUCCGCCUCCAGCUGCUGCACCCGGAGCAUGAGGGCAUGAGGCCGUGCCCAGCCCUCGCGCAGACGUGCUCAUCACCUCGUCGUACAGGCAGUAGAACACAUGUGCAGUGAAUCUGCAGCCGUUUUACAAUGGGGGAGAGUUCAGUUGCCUGAUGGGUAAAAAAAUAUGAAUUUAUGAUGUUCCUCUCUCUGAAAUUCUGGUUUCUGCAAACUUGCAAAUGCAACUGUGACUCAUGACGGUCAAACUUUGGUAUCUCUGUUGCGUGUUCUUCUUUGCCUUUUCUUCUUUGGUAUCUCUGUUGCGUUUCCUUCAUUGCGUUUUCUUCUUUCCUCUAUCCACAUCUCCUCGGUUCCGCGUAGUCCACAAGUUGCGGGCCGGGUCUGGGCCAGCACGGCUCGAUGCAAGCACGUCGUGCUUUAGGGCCGUGCUGGGCCUACGUUUUAGGAGGUGAGCACGUUUUGGCCCGGCCCGAAAGAAAUUCGUGCUAGCACGGCCCGAAGUAUUUAAGCCCGAAGCACGACAAGCCCGUGCCGGAUCAGCACGGCCCGGCCCAACUUGCAGGACUACUUGACACUACAUUUCAUGAAAUUAAUACAAAAUUAUAAAUGGUAGUAUUAGAGCACGUUUGAUAUAGAUCUUUAUUGUACCUAAUGCACCACAUACUGAUUGAAGGUGGGACAAAGACAUGUAACUAUAUUCUACAAUACACAGCGUUAAUGCCCAUCACUGUAAAUUGUUGAUCCUAGCAAUAACAAAUGGAUAUGUGAUUAGCCAAAAGAGCAAUAGUUUUGCCUACCUGACGUGCUGAAGGUGUGAUGGUGGAGAUGGCUAAGACUUUAGGUUCCAUCAGUUUCAAGCCCAAAUAAUCAACAAGAGAUAAAUCAAUGCUACAACGAAAUCACAAUGAAUGAUUUUAAAACCUAUGUCAGUAUAAUUAUUCACAACAGUUCUUUAUCCUUAAAAUGGAAAGGGAAAGUAACAUGUGUUAUGCUAUUAAUCAAAAUUAAGCUACCUCUAGAACUUUGUAGUAGUUCUGCGCACGUUUCUUACUAUGACAAAAGGGCCAAAUACCAAAGUCACAUUUCUCACUAUGAACAGAAUGACAAAAAAGGCUAAAGUAAUGUUUCUCACUAUGAACAGUCAACAUAAAAGACAAUAGCAGACCUCGUAUGCACAGUCGAUGGCGAGUUUGAUGCGUGGGUGGUCGUCGAGAGUGGAGAGUGAAGUAGCUCGACAAGCGACGACACGGACGUGAGUGAGCAGGUUGGCGUUGGCGGUCGCGGUCGUACCGCCUGGUUCCCACCAAAUUUCUGCCCAUGCAUCUCCGUCUUUGCUUUGGUCAAGCCCUCGACAUCUGCAUGUUCCAAAAACACAUGCGUGCAGCAAAAGCACUAAAAUCAGAUACAUAGUGUGCCAGCAUUACCCAAAUGGUGCUGUUAGAAUAUAAUAUAAAAGGAGAAUAAAAACUCACCUUUCCAAAUGUAACAUCCCUUCGAAUUACCGGUUUCUCCAUCCUAUUUUUUCAUAUGUAUUUGUACUAAAGUUUUUUCAUAUAUAUUUAACUAAAGGUUCUGUAGGUUUUUAUUUGAUGGUCUAGUAACCUGUAAUUUUUAAUCAGUCUGCAAAUUCUACGAAUAUACAAAUUGGUACAAGUAAAAAAUUAACAGCUAGAAAAUUUCCUAUCAUUCUCCGUAAAUCUAAUCCCUAUCACGUACAUAUGGUAUACUAUUUGCAAUUAGUAAUAUGCGAUGAUCAUAAUCACAUGACCUUCAACAACUCAAGCUACUGAACCUCAAACACCAGUGUCACCUUGGCAUGAGAUAGUAGAUUUCGCCUUGGUCCAAAUUGCAAUUCAAACAAACCAUCAGAUUCAUGCAGCUAUUACAUUUUGGAACUACUGCACUGGUGCUCCUUGAAAUGAAAUCUAGUUAGUACAACAUCGAGAUUGCGCACCCCUUCUGAUAUGGGCUUCAAUGUCUCACUGAAGUAGCAUCCCGACUAGCGACAUGCAUGUGAAAUAUAAUUUGGAACUGAAAGAGUACUAAGCAAGUAAGCAUCAUUACUCAAGAAAAAAAUAUAAGGGCAAGUGUGAUCAGUAAAGUGCAGCAGAUCAACUAAAGAAAAAAAAUGCUAUGAUCAGUUAACUGGAUAGUGUUUGUAUGCAAGUGCACAACAUAUCAAGGCUUCGUGUAGUAGUGCCAAAACUCUUUAAAAUGCAUUUGUAAGUCAUUUCGUGAUACACCAAGAAACAAUUUUCCCUAUCCAUAAACAAAUAUGAUAGAACUGAUUAAAAAGAUCCACAAAAAUGAUUCCACAACAUAGCUAAGAAAGUGCAACAGGUAACCCAAACAAGGUCAUCUAACAGGCUUGUGUUAGUUUUAAGGACACAAUUUGUCGGCGUUUCGAGACAGGGGGGUCCCUAAGCCGACGAGUGAGUGUGCUGCGUGCCCCAGCCCAGAUGGGUCGAGCGCGUGGGCGAGCGCGAAGGGGGGAGAGGCGAGGCGGUCGGAGCCGAGCGUGAGAGAGGUGGAAGUCCCGCGGCCUUCGUGUUCGUCCCGCGCCCAGGUCAGGUGCGCUUGCAGUAGGGGGGUUACAAGCGUCCACGCGGGUGAGGGAAGCGAGCGGCCCCAAGAAAGCGCCUGUCCCGUCCUCGGUCCCGCGCGGCCAACCUUCUCUGAGAAGGCCCUGGUCCUUCCUUUUAUAGUCGUAAGGAGAGGAUCCAGGUGUACAAUGGGGAUGUAGCAGAGUGCUACGUGUCUAGCGGAGGGAGAGCUAGCGCCCUAGGUACAUGCCAAUGUGGCAGCCGGAGAGAUCUGGGCACCCUGCUGGCGUGAUGUCGUGGCUGUCGGAGGUGUGGCGGAGCCUGAUGGAGGGACAGCUGUUGGAGCGGUCGAGUCCCUGCUGACGUUGUCCUGCUUCCGUAAGAGAGCUGGGGGCCGCCGUCGUCAUAGAGCUUGUGGAGCGCCAUCAUUGCCCCUCUGGCGGAGCUGGCCGGAUGAGACGCCGGUCUUGUUCUCCGUGACCCGAGUCGAUUCGGGGUGGGAUGAUGAUGGCGUCUCCUGUUGACGUGGCGGUCCGUGCUCUAGGCAGGGCGACGUGGGGUUUCCUCCGAAGCCGAGGUUGAGUCUGCCUUCUGUUGCCGUGGCCGAGCCCGAGCCAAGGGGUCGGGCGAGGCGGAAGUCGUUCGGCCGAGGCCAGGGCGGAGUCCGAGCCCUGGGGUCGGGCGAGGCGGAGUUUCGUCGUCUUCCGGGUCUUAGCCCGAGUCCGAGCCCUGGGGUCGGGCGGAGCGGAGUUCGCCGUCUUCUGGGUCUUAGCCCGAGUCCGAGCCCUGGGGUCGGGCGGAGCGGAGUUCGCCGUCUUCCGGGUCUUAGCCCGAGUCCGAGCCCUGGGGUCGGGCGGAGCGGUGUUCGCCGUCUUCCGGGUCUUAGCCCGAGUCCGAGUCCUGGGGUCGGGCGGAGCGGAGUUCGCCGUCUUCCGGGUCUUAGCCCGAGUCCGAGCCCUGGGGUCGGGCGGAGCGGAGUUCGCCGUGGCGCCUUUGGCAAGGCCUGAUUGCCUGUCAGACUCACUCUGUCGAGUGGCACUGCAGUCGGAGUGGCGCAGGCGGCGCUGUCCUUCUGUCAGACUGGCCAGUGGAGCGGUGGAGUGACGGCGGUCACCUCGGCUCUGCCGGGGGCGCGUGUCAGGAUAGAGGUGUCAGGCCACCUUUGCGUUAAAUGCCCCUGCAAUUUGGUCAGUCGGUGUGGUGAUUUAGUCAAGGUUGCUUCUGAGCGAAGCCAAGGCCUUGGGCGAGCCGGUGAUGUGUCCGCCAUAAAAAGGGGGCCUCGGGCGAGACGGAAGUCUCUCGAGGUCGGCUGCCUUCGGCCGAGGCUAGGCUCGGGUGAAGCGUGAUCGAGUCACUCGUGUGGACUGAUCCCUGACUUAAUCGUGCCCAUCAGGCCUUUGCAGCUUUAUGCUGAUGGGGGUUACCAGCUGAGAAUUAGGCGUCUUGAGGGUACCCCUAAUUAUGGUCCCCGACAGUAGCCCCCGAGCCUCGAAGGGAGUGUUAGCACUCGCUUGGAGGCUUUCGUCGCACUUUUUUGCAAGGGGACCAGCCUUUCUCGGUUGCAUUUCGUUCCGGUGGGUGCGCGCGAGCGCACCCGCCGGGUGUAGCCCCCGAGGCCUCGGAGGAGUGGUUACACUCCUUCGAGGUCUUAAUACUUCGCUUAACGCUUCGGCUGGUCUGGUCGUUCCCUCAUGCGAACUGGCCGUAGCCCGGGUGCACGGUCGGGGCCCAAGCUCUCGGGCUGGUAUGUUGACGCUGUCAACGAUUUGGCCGGAGCCGGUUUUUGCGAGAGCAGCCCCCGAGCCUCUGCACAGGGCGAGAGGACGAUCAGGGACAGACUCGGCUUUUUACAUACGCCCCUACGUCGCCUUUCCGCAAGGAGGAGGGGGGGAGUGCGCCAUGUUACCCUCGAUGGGCACCGAACAUGGUGUCUCCGGUGAGCUGCAAGCGGGUAAUCCGAGUGGACGUCCGUGCCCCGUUCGUUGGGGGUCGGCUAGGGGCCCAGAGGCACGCCCAAAAGUACCUGCGGGUGAUUUGCCGGACCCGGUCCCCUGGCGACGGGGUCUGAGGGCUCGAUGCCUCCCUCCGAUGGGAUUCCGUUACAAGAUCGUUCCCGCUGGUCUCGGAAAUGUCCUAGGGUACCUCGGGAGCGCAGCCCGAGCCUCGGUUAUGUAUCGAACGUACCCCUGGUCAUCCCUCGCUCGGUGUCUGAGGCGACUGUGAACCCUUCGGGGGCCAGCCUUCGAACCCCUGAUCAGUAAUGGGCGCGGAGCCCGAGUAGCCUGAGGCGGCCAUGGAGCCCUUCGGGGGGCUGGCCUUCGAACCCCUGACCAGUAGUGGGUGUCGGGCCCACGCGAUCUGAGGCGACUGUUGAACCCUCGGGGGGCCAGCCUUCGAACCCCUGAUCAGUAAUGGGGGGCUCGGAGCCCGGUUCCUUCGCGGAGAAGGAUCCCUUUCGGGGUAUCCCCCUUUCCCGGUCCCUGUUGCAAGAGAUAGAGAAAGAGGAAAACGGAAAAGGAUACGAAAUCGGACGACGUGGCGUACCUUUUCUGACGCGGUUAUUGCGGCGAAGGUGAAGCGUCGCACGCUCCUCCUGCCAGAAGCGCCGCGUGUCCCGCCGCGGAGUUAAUGCGACGGGGCGAGUGGUUGGCGGGGCGGCCGUUGCGCGCGUGCGAUCCGUUCGAGGAACGGGUCACGGGUGCACCGUCUUCACGUCGUGAGAGGAGGCUCUCUUGCUGUCUCAGGAUGGGACGUGAGCCUGGCUGACGACGUGACCGCUGCGCCCGCCCGCCUGCCACCGCUAUUACUGCCGGCCCACUUUCGGUCGCUUUGACCGACGCGCCAGUCUGGCGCUGUUGGGUCGCCUCGAGUCGAUGGGACCCCGUCGCCAGGGGACUGUUGGUACCGCGCCGAGUGUAGCAAAGCCCUGUCCCGAGCUUCCUCCAGCUGGUCCAGCGAUUCCUCUCGGCUAGCUUGGUUGCUUUGUUCGGUGUAGGCCCUCGCCCUCGGGGAGCCGUAUUCCAGGUCAGUGGGCAAGAUAGCUUCAGCCCCGUAGACCAGGAAAAACGGCGUGAAGCCUGUGGCACGACUCGGCGUCGUCCUUAGGCUCCAGACCACCGAGGGGAGUUCCUUCAUCCAUCGCCUGCCGAACUUGUUGAGGUCGUUGUAGAUCCGAGGCUUGAGCUCUUGUAGAAUCAUGCCGUUGGCACGCUCUACCUGCCCAUUCGACAUGGGAUGAGCCACGGCGGCCCAGUCCACCCGGAUAUGGUGAUCCUCGCAAAAAUCCAAGAAUUUUUUGCCGGUGAACUGGGUGCCGUUGUCGGUGAUGAUGGAGUUCGGGACCCCGAAGCGAUGGAUGAUGUUGGUGAAGAAUGCCACCGCCUGCUCGGACCUGAUGCUGUUCAGAGGUCGGACCUCGAUCCACUUGGAGAAUUUGUCGAUGGCGACCAGCAGGUGCGUGUAGCCCCCGGGCGCCUUCUGCAAGGGGCCGACGAGGUCCAGACCCCAUACAGCGAAGGGCCAGGUGAUGGGUAUUGUCUGCAGAGCCUGAGCGGGCAGGUGUGUCCGCUUCGCAUAGAAUUGGCACCCUUCGCAGGUGCGGACAAUUCUAGUGGCGUCCGCCACCGCCGCUGGCCAGUAGAAGCCUUGCCGGAAAGCAUUUCCAACAAGGGCUCGGGGUGCUGCGUGGUGGCCGCAAGCCCCCGAGUGUACUUCUUGCAGCAGUUCCCGACCUUCGGCGAUGGAGAUGCAUCGCUGGAGGAUGCCCGAGGGGCUGCGGUGGUAGAGCUCCUCUUCAUCGCCCAGCAAGACGAAUGACUUGGCGCGUCGCGCUACCCGCCGAGCCUCGACUUGGUCGAGGGGUAGCUCUCCUCGACGGAGAUAUUGCAGGUACGGGGUCUGCCAAUCCUGGUCUGGCGUGGCCCCGCUCUGCCCUUCCUCGACGUUCAAUGCCCCGCCCUCGGGGGCCGAGGUUACCUCGGGCCGGGCCGAGGGUGCCUCGGGCUGAACCGAGGGUACCUCGGGCUGAGCCGAGGGUACCUCGGGCUGAGCCGAGGGUACCUCGGGCUCGGGCGCGUCGUCGAGCUUGACGGAGGGUUGAUGCAGAUCCCGGGAGAAGACGUCCGGGGGGACUGUCGUUCGCCCCGAGGCUAUCUUGGCCAGCUCGUCUGCGGUUUCGUUGUAGCGCCGAGCGAUGUGGUUGAGCUCGAGCCCGAAGAACUUGUCUUCCAGGCGCCGAACCUCGUCGCAGUAGGCCUCCAUCUUCGGGUCGCGGCAGUGGGAGUUCUUCAUGACUUGGUCGAUGACGAGCUGCGAAUCACCGCGGGCGUCGAGGCGUCUGACCCCUAGCUCGAUGGCGAUCCGUAAUCCGUUGACCAGAGCUUCGUACUCGGCCACAUUGUUGGACGCCGGGAAGUGGAGGCGCAGCACGUAGCGCAAGUGCUUUCCGAGGGGCGAGAUGAAGAGCAGGUCCGCACCGGCCCCCGUCUUCAUCAGCGACCCGUCGAAAAACAUGGUCCAGAGCUCCGGUUGGAUCGGAGUCGUCGGCAGUUGGGUGUCGACCCAUUCGGCCACGAAAUCCGCCAACACUUGGGACUUGAUGGCCUUCCGAGGGGCGAACGAGAUCGUUUCGCCCAUGAUUUCCACCGCCCACUUUGCGAUCCUGCCCGAGGCCUCUCGGCACUGGAUGAUCUCCCCCAGGGGGAAGGAUGACACCACAGUUACCGGAUGGGACUCGAAGUAGUGUCGCAGCUUCCGCCUUGUCAGGAUCACAGCAUACAGCAGCUUUUGAACUUGUGGGUAGCGGAUCUUAGUCUCGGACAGCACUUCGCUGACGAAGUAGACCGGCCUCUGAACGGGCAAUGUAUGCCCUUCCUCUUGCCUUUCGACCACAAUCGCGGCGCUAACCACCUGAGUGGUCGCGGCGACGUAGACCAGGAGGGUUUCUCCGUCCGCCGGCGGCACCAAGACUGGCGCCUUUGUAAGGAGCGCCUUCAGGUUGCCGAGGGCUUCCUCGUCCUCAGGGGUCCAAGCGAAACAUUCGGCCUUCCUUAAGAGGCGGUACAGAGGCAGACCUCUUUCGCCGAGGCGUGAGAUGAAGCGGCUCAGGGCCGCGAGGCAUCCCAUGACCCUCUGUACCCCUUUUAUGUCCUUGAUGGGUCCCAUGCUGGUGAUGGCCGCAAUCUUCUCCGGGUUGGCCUCGAUGCCUCGCUCGGAGACGAUGCACCCUAGGAGCAUGCCUCGGGGCACCCCGAAGACACACUUCUCAGGAUUAAGCUUGACUCCUUUUGCCUUGAGACACCGGAAUGUCACUUCAAGGUCGGAGAGGAGGUCGGGAGCCUUCCGUGUCUUGACUACGAUGUCAUCGACGUAGGCCUCGACUGUGCGACCGAUGUGUUCGCCGAACACAUGGUUCAUGCACCGCUGGUACGUCGCGCCUGCAUUCCUCAAGCCGAACGGCAUGGUGACAUAGCAGUACAUGCCGAACGGCGUGAUGAAAGAAGUCGCGAGCUGGUCGGACUCUUUCAUCCGGAUCUGGUGAUACCCCGAGUAGGCAUCGAGGAAGGACAGGGUUUCGCACCCAGCAGUGGAAUCCACGAUUUGGUCGAUGCGAGGCAGAGGGUAGGGAACCUUCGGACAUGCUUUGUUGAGACCAGUGUAGUCUACACACAUCCGCCAUUUCCCCCCUUUCUUCCUCACAAGCACAGGGUUGGCAAGCCAUUCGGGAUGGAAUACCUCUUUGACGAACCCUGCCGCCAUUAGCUUGUGGAUCUCUUCGCCAAUCGCUCUGCGCUUCUCCUCGUCGAAUCGGCGCAGAGGCUGCAUGACGGGUCGGGCUCCGGCCCGAAUAUCCAGCGAGUGCUCGGCGACAUCCCUCGGUAUGCCGGGCAUGUCCGAGGGACUCCACGCAAAGACGUCGGCGUUUGCGCGGAGAAAGUCGACGAGCACUGCUUCCUAUUUGGGGUCGAGCCCGGAACCGAUCCGGAUCUGCUUGGUGGUGUCGCCACUGGAGUCGAGGGGGACGGCCUUGACCGUCUCCGCUGGCUCGAAGUUGCCGGCAUGGCGCUUCACGUCUGGGACCUCCUUGGAGAGGUUCUCCAGGUAGGCGAUGAGGGCCUCGGACUCGCGAGGGCCUCGGCGUACUCCACGCACUCCACGUCGCAUUCGAACGCGUGUUUGUACGUGGGGCCGACGGUGAUGACCCCGUUGGGGCCCGGCAUCUUGAGCUUCAGGUAGGUGUAGUUGGGGACGGCCAUGAACUUCGCGUAGCAUGGCCUCCCUAGCACGGCGUGGUAGGUUCCUCGGAACCCGACCACUUCGAACGUCAGGGUCUCCCUUCGGAAGUUGGAGGGUGUCCCGAAGCAGACCGGGAGGUCGAGUCGCCCGAGGGGUUGGACGCGCUUCCCAGGGAUGAUCCCAUGGAAGGGCGCAGCGCCUGCUCGGACGGAGGACGGAUCGACGCGCAGAAGCUUGAGGGUCUCAGCGUAGAUGAUGUUGAGGCAGCUGCCCCCGUCCAUCAGGACCUUGGUGAGCCUGACGUCGCCGACAACGGGGUCGACGACGAGCGGGUAUUUCCCCGGGCUCGGCACAUGGUCGGGGUGGUCGGCCCGGUCGAAAGUGAUGGGCUUGUCGGACCAGUCUAGGUAGACUGGCGCCGCCACCUUCACCGAGCAGACCUCCCGGCGCUCUUGCUUGCGGUGCCGAGCCGAGGUAUUCGCCGCAUGCCCUCCAUAGAUCAUGAAGCAGUCGCGGACCUCGGGGAACCCCCCUGCUGGGUGUUCUUCGUUCUUGUCGUCGUCGUGGGCCCUGCCACCCUCGGCGGGUGGCCCGGCCCUGUGGAAAUGACGCCGAAGCAUAACGCACUCCUCGAGGGUGUGCUUGACGGGCCCCUGAUGGUAGGGGCACGGCUCCUUGAGCAUCUUGUCGAAGAGGUUUGCACCUCCGGGGGGCUUCCGAGGGUUCUUAUACUCGGCGGCGGCGACAAGGUCCGCGUCGGCGGCGUCGCGUUUCGAUUGCGACUUCUUCUUGCCUUUCUUCUUGGCGCCGCGCGGAGCAGACGCCUCGGGGGCUUCUUCCGAUGGGCGGCCCUGGGGCUGCUUGUCCUUUCGGAAGAUAGCCUCGACCGCCUCCUGGCCAGAGGCGAACUUGGUGGCGAUGUCCAUCAGCUCGCUCGCCCUGGUGGGGGUUUUGCGACCCAGCUUGCUCACCAGGUCGCGGCAAGUGGUGCCGGCGAGGAACGCGCCGAUGACAUCCGAGUCGGUGAUGUUGGGCAGCUCGGUGCGCUGCUUCGAGAAUCGCCGGAUGUAGUCCCGGAGCGACUCCCCCGGCUGUUGCCGGCAGCUUCGAAGGUCCUAGGAAUUCCCGGGGCGCACGUAUGUGCCCUGGAAAUUGCCAGCGAAGGCUUGGACCAAGCCGUCCCAGUUGGAAAUCUGCCCCGGAGGCAGGUGCUCCAACCAGGCGCGAGCAGUGUCGGAGAGGAACAGGGGGAGGUUGCGGAUGAUGAGGUUGUCGUCGUCCGUUCCACCCAGUUGGCAGGCGAGGCGGUAGUCCGCGAGCCACAGUUCCGGUCUCGUUUCCCCCGAGUACUUUGUGAUAGUAGUCGGGGGUCGGAACCGGGUCGGGAAUGGCGCCCGUCGGAUGGCCCGACUGAAGGCCUGCGGACCGGGUGGUUCGGGCGAGGGACUCCGAUCCUCCCCGCUGUCGUAGCGUCCCCCACGCCUGGGGUGGUAGCCUCGGCGCACCCUUUCGUCGAGGUGAGCCCGACGGUCGCGUCGAUGGUGCUCGUUGCCGAGGUGGCCCGGGGCCGCAGGCGCGGUGUUGCGCGUGCGCCCGGUGUAGACCGAGGCUUCCCGCAUGAAUCGGGAAGUCGCGGCAUGAGGUUCCGAGGGAUAUCCUUGCCUCCAGGAUGCAGUGCUCUCGGCCCGCCGGGCCGCAGCGCCUUCCAGGAGAUUCUUGAGUUCUCCCUGGAUUCGCCGACCCUCGGUGGUUGACGGCUCCGGCAUCGCGCGGAUGAGCAUUGCUGCGGUUGCCAGGUUCUGACCGACCCCGCUGGAUGCGGGCGGCGGCCUGAUCCUGACAUCGUUGGCGACGCGGUGCUGGAGACCUUGGGGCAGAUGACGUAUUUCUCCGGCCAGGGGUUGGCCCACCCAUGCCUGUCCGACGUCCCGACGGAUCGGCUCAAGCGCUCCUGUUCCCUCGUUGAGCCUGGCCUGCGCCUCGCGGACUUGCUCGAGUUGUGGGUCGUAACCCCCCGCCGGAGCGGGGACCACAGCUAGCUCCCGUGGGAUGUCGGCGCGAGGCACCGGCCUAGGGAGAUCACCAUCCUCCGGCAUGCCAAGAUGGUUGCCUUCGGUGGGAUCCCCUAGCUCGAUGUGGAAACAUUCGCGGCUUGGGCCGCAGCUCUCGUCACCAAGGCUGCGGCCUCCAUCGGAACAGUCGGAUAGACAGUAGUCACAUGCGGUCAUGAAGUCCCGCACGGCACUUUUGGUCGACGAGGAGCGACGUAGUCACAUCGGGGACUGGUUGCGCCGUCAUCUCUGGUUCGAGGGCGACGUCCUGCAGGCUUUCCGCGAGCGCGCCUGCGUCGUCUUCUUGCUCAAGGUCAGCGUGCCGCGGGGGGACGGCGCUCGCCUCCGUCUCGAACGCGAGGUCGACGUCCGGCGUGCCUUCCGUCGGGGCGUCGGGGGCGUCGAUUCGCUCGACGGCCGACGAAGCGCGGCCUCCCGUCUGGCCUUGACGGCUCCGCCUCCUCCUCCGUUGGCGGGGGAGAGAACGGAGCGAGCCCGAAUAUUGCUCUUCCACCACGCGGGGAAAACGUCGUCGAUUCCGCCGCCGGCGGGCGGGUUGUCGGCCGCCAUUGUCGUGGUCGCGCGGCGGUGGAAGAAGUGUCAUGUCGUAGCUGCCGUCGAAGGACAUGAACUCGAGAGUCCCGAAACGAAGCACCGUCCCGGGCCGGAGAGGUUGCUGGAGACUGCCCAUCUGGAGCUUGACGGGGAGCUGUUCGUCAGCACGCAGCAUGCCCCUACCUGGCGCGCCAACUGUCGGCGUUUCGAGACAGGGGGUCCCUAAGCCGACGAGUGAGUGUGCUGCGUGCCCCAGCCCAGAUGGGUCGAGCGCGUGGGCGAGCGCGAAGGGGGGAGAGGCGAGGCGGUCGGAGCCGAGCGUGAGAGAGGUGGAAGUCCCGCGGCCUUCGUGUUCGUCCCGCGCCCAGGUCAGGUGCGCUUGCAGUAGGGGGGUUACAAGCGUCCACGCGGGUGAGGGAAGCGAGCGGCCCUAAGAGAGCGCCUGUCCCGUCCUCGGUCCCGCGCGGCCAACCUUCUCUGAGAAGGCCCUGGUCCUUCCUUUUAUAGUCGUAAGGAGAGGAUCCAGGUGUACAAUGGGGAUGUAGCAGAGUGCUACGUGUCUAGCGGAGGGAGAGCUAGCGCCCUAGGUACAUGCCAAUGUGGCAGCCGGAGAGAUCUGGGCACCCUGCUGGCGUGAUGUCGUGGCUGUCGGAGGUGCGGCGGAGCCUGAUGGAGGGACAGCUGUUGGAGCGGUCGAGUCCCUGCUGACGUUGUCCUGCUUCCGUAAGAGAGCUGGGGGCCGCCGUCGUCAUAGAGCUUGUGGAGCGCCAUCAUUGCCCCUCUGGCGGAGCUGGCCGGAUGAGACGCCGGUCUUGUUCUCCGUGACCCGAGUCGAUUCGGGGUGGGAUGAUGAUGGCGUCUCCUGUUGACGUGGCGGUCCGUGCUCUAGGCAGGGCGACGUGGGGUUUCCUCCGAAGCCGAGGUUGAGUCUGCCUUCUGUUGCCGUGGCCGAGCCCGAGCCAAGGGGUCGGGCGAGGCGGAAGUCGUUCGGCCGAGGCCAGGGCGGAGUCCGAGCCCUGGGGUCGGGCGAGGCGGAGUUUCGUCGUCUUCCGGGUCUUAGCCCGAGUCCGAGCCCUGGGGUCGGGCGGAGCGGAGUUCGCCGUCUUCUGGGUCUUAGCCCGAGUCCGAGCCCUGGGGUCGGGCGGAGCGGAGUUCGCCGUCUUCCGGGUCUUAGCCCGAGUCCGAGCCCUGGGGUCGGGCGGAGCGGUGUUCGCCGUCUUCCGGGUCUUAGCCCGAGUCCGAGCCCUGGGGUCGGGCGGAGCGGAGUUCGCCGUCUUCCGGGUCUUAGCCCGAGUCCGAGCCCUGGGGUCGGGCGGAGCGGAGUUCGCCGUGGCGCCUUUGGCAAGGCCUGAUUGCCUGUCAGACUCACUCUGUCGAGUGGCACUGCAGUCGGAGUGGCGCAGGCGGCGCUGUCCUUCUGUCAGACUGGCCAGUGGAGCGGUGGAGUGACGGCGGUCACCUCGGCUCUGCCGGGGGCGCGUGUCAGGAUAGAGGUGUCAGGCCACCUUUGCGUUAAAUGCCCCUGCAAUUUGGUCAGUCGGUGUGGUGAUUUAGUCAAGGUUGCUUCUGAGCGAAGCCAAGGCCUUGGGCGAGCCGGUGAUGUGUCCGCCAUAAAAAGGGGGCCUCGGGCGAGACGGAAGUCUCUCGAGGUCGGCUGCCUUCGGCCGAGGCUAGGCUCGGGUGAAGCGUGAUCGAGUCACUCGUGUGGACUGAUCCCUGACUUAAUCGUGCCCAUCAGGCCUUUGCAGCUUUAUGCUGAUGGGGGUUACCAGCUGAGAAUUAGGCGUCUUGAGGGUACCCCUAAUUAUGGUCCCCGACACAAUUCAUUCCAGGUAGAUAAUUGAAGCCAUCAUACACAUUUAUUUGCAGAAACAAACAAUUUUCCUACUCAUAGUUGAGGAACUCGAUGCAUGUGUAAACAGGUAUUCCAGUUUUUUCCUUUUUAAUGUCUUAUAAAUGGGAUCCAUAAAUUCUGCUAGCACGACUUUUAGGACCUUAGUCAGAGUAAUCGGUCUAAUGUUUCUAGAAGCUACUCCUUUCCGCAUUUUCGUAGUAAUUAUGUAUAUUGAGCUCCAAUCUAUUUUCCAUACCUGCAUUUUAUGAAUGCCCUACACUUUAGCAAGUUUUACAUAAAUAUAAAAAAACAUCAUAAGGGUGAAGAUUCAUACUGUUAAGCAGUGAUAUAGCUAGCAUAAUAGCCAUUUGUUACUCUUCAGUCUUGAAUCUCAAUAUUCAUGGGUAAGCUCCAUAAAUGGAGAAUAUUUUUGGCAAGUCAUUUUUAGUAAAAUUUUGGUGAAAACUAAAAUACAUGGACUCAUUGCUGCUGCAUUUCUUCAAGAUUGCAAGUUAAAGUGUAACAUCACAUCAUGUUCUUUCAUUAAAGUUCUGGGUGCCUUUUAUUUAGCAAAAUUCUGGGUGCCAUUUAUUCUUUAUGUACCAGCUAGUGCUUCCUUAUGUGCCCUUUGUAGAAGUAACAUUGUCAUUUGCAACCAUGUGUGAAGGGGAACACUACCAUCCCUGAACUAUGGAAAAAACACAUAUAGUGAUAGAGAUGAAUUGUGUGAAGGGGAACAAUAUCAUCCCUAAAAUGUGAAAACACAGAUAGAGGACCAUUUGCAACCAUGUGGAAAAGAACUUGUAAGGCAUCAUCUUCAAUUAAACUUGGUGUAGCAGUUUGACGGCUCGAUAGUGCUUUCAUUAUAUGUAUUACGCUUCCCUCAUCUCCAUAUAACACAAAAAAGAAUAAAAAUCAAAACCCAAGUUGACAUGGAGAAAAUGAACCAUGAGAAAAUGAAGGGAACAAAUAGUCACUAUAUAACAUAUAUAUGAACACAAAGGGAAAAACAUGUAAUAAUACAGACAAAGCAACAAGCAUAUGUUAACUAAUUUACGAUUCUGUGUAUGUCAACAGUACAAUCUUGCAAAUAAGGCCUUGCUAAAAACCAGAAGAUUGAGGUAAGAUUACCUCAAGGUUCAAGCUGUCGUGAUUGCAUUGGAUCCAAAAUUUUGUUUUUCCCAAAAUCAUAUGAAGCUCUUAUAUUAAACAUAUAGACGAGCGGCGUGAUGAUCUAGACAAUAUAAAAAGGAAAUGGUGUGACGUACAUUGUUGGUUUUUUUGUGGCAGCGACGAAUGAAUCACUCCAUCUACCCCAUGUCUACAGUCUAUGACACCAUUUUAAUAAAAUAACCUAAUUGUAUAGCAUGUGUUGCAGAAUGCUACAUGUGCUAUUAUCAUGUCAUACCUUUGAAGUCUGGAAUCAUUAGAACCAAGAGCAUCCUUCAAUCCAGCAUAGCCAUUCCCAAGCAAAAUGCGCAAACUCCAGGCUGGUUAUGAUGUAUUAUAGCUGGAAAACAAUUGUACGAAGUUUUGUUAGCAUGACCAACAGAAAAUACUCUGAAAAUUAACUGCACAGUUCAAGCAAAGGAUUAUACCCCACAUGAGACUGAGUGAUACUUACAAGAACGGGCUCCUAAUGCUUUUGUGCGUGUAUUUGUACUUGGACCUGAUUUGAAGUUUGUCGACAGUGCCUCAAGUACAUUGGAUUCCAUGACAAGUUGCUAACUCUUGGGAUUAUUCUGCACGACUGUACUAACAACUUCCGCUGCCUUUGUUCAGAUGCUAGCAAGGGAUCUAGCCCCACCAUAUCUGAAUGGAAUAAGAAUUUUUUACUCCAGAGACAACACCUAGAACAUGAGGGUGAUAAAUAUCAAUGUUCAUAAAAUCAAAUUCCAAGGAGAAAACGACCAAGUAAGUAACACUGGAAAUUUUGCUUAUCGGCAAGUGACAUCACAUAAACACCAAUAGAAUAAGUUGCACAUACUUACAGCCUCUGGGAAUGAUCCAAGCCUCCUAAGUAGUGAUUGGAUGGAGCCUCCAGGAACAAAUUCCAGUAGAAUAUUUAGCGUGUUUUCCUCCCAUGUCGUCCCAAUAUACCUCUGAUCAAACAACACAGCCUAGAUCAAACACCACAACCAAAAAAAGAGGAUAACAAUGUUGAAAUGACAGUGUACUUACAACAAUAUUAUUGUGGAAGAAGUUCCUCGAGCUCUGUUACAUGUGCCUAGUCAAAAGACUCUCGUGUAAGCAUUUUAGAGUGGAAUGAAUGAAUAGAUACAUAGAUAAACUGAGUCAGCGAUAAAACAACACAAGAUCCAUCAAAUCACCAGAAUCGAGAUGGAAGACUAACCUGUUUGAUAGCGAGGAUCUCACUGGAAUCGAGGUCCAUGCCGAGGUAGACCUGCCUGAAUGCUCCACUCUUGAUGAGGUCGCCUACGGUCCCUAACACAUUCAUCAGAAGCCAAGAUCGUGGCCAGGGGCGAGGGCGGGUGCGGCAUGAUGCGGCACAUGGGUGACCUGUCCGAAUCUGCUCCCUGCUGCCCCCCAGCACCACCCACAGCGGCAGAGGAGAGCGAUGUGGUGGGCUUGUUGAGGGUGGGGGCACCCGCAUGGAAGGAGAUGGAGUGGCGCACGGAGUAGAAUCCUAAUCCUCGCGGUGUCGACGACGAAGUAGCGUGAGGCGGCAUGGCACACGGCGACAACGGCCGCAGAGAGGAGCACAAUCCCAACGUCGUCUAAAUCAUCGCUGAGAGGACCUUGACGCUUCACUUAUGGCGGCGCAUGAUGGGCUGGACCUGACUGGCGACGCGAUCGAGGGUAGCCUGGGCGGCGGCCGCGUCGAGCUUGGUCUUGAGCUCAUGGACCUCCCACACCUUGCGCAGGUCACACACCUCCAUCGCCCCCUCCGUCGAAUCGCCAAUACACGCCAACGCGGAGUGGAUUCAGAUGGGUUGGGGCCUAGGGCGGAUAGGUAAGCGGACGGGAAGGUGGGCUCCUGUGGGUGGGGGAUUGGGGCUGGGCGUUGCAGGAGAUGUGAGAGGGACCGCGGAUGGAGGAACGACGGCGGCGACGGGAGAGGGGUGGGCGACGGAGUGAGGACCGCGGUGAGCUAGGGGCCGGCGGGAGGCUAGACGGUGGAUGGAAGACCGAGUGGGAGGGUUGCUCGCGUGGAGCGGAAGGCACGGGGCGACACACGCAGGCGUGGGCGGACACGGAGUCAUGGACGUACGGUGCAGAUUCAACAAAGGCGAACAAACGGUGCAGAUCUAUGGAAGGCAGAACCAUGGUGCACGGUGUGGUCUACAUUAGGUUCUUAUAGAGUAGUAGAGAUUUACCGACUUAUGGACAGAUGGACACGCAUAGCCGAAAAAACGAACCAAUUCGAACCGAAAUAUCAGUUUUUCCAGUUUUUGGUUUCGGUUCCCGAAUCAGCAGCCCACCUCUCGCUACCCCUUCCCAAACAAAGCCCACCAAAGGCCCACUAGCGCACCUCCCUCACCCUAUCACCCAACCCUCAGUAUGGGCGUAUGGCUGGGCGGUGAUGCAGCCGUGCAGCAGCUAUGCGAGCUCCGAGCGAGGGCCGCGUAGCAGCGAGCGGGCCACGGAGCGGCGGCGGCGCCACCGAGCGGGAAGCCGGGAACAGCGUGACCCAGCGGCGUCUUGACGAGCGAGGGCGUACGUGCGAGCUCCGGGUGGCACGGCCGCGCGGUGGGUGUGGUCGGCGCAUGCAGCUGCCGAGCGAGCUCUGCUGGGCGAUCAAGCUGUAUGUGACUGGUGAAAAACCAAUCUGUAUUUCUGUACUGGGGCGAAUGGACCGUCAAAUGUGGCGCGCGAAUAUGAUCUUUGCUGUGUUUUAUUUAAUCAUUUAUGGACUAAUGGACCGAACAGGAUCGUCGGAGAUGCCUAGACCAACACUUGAGUGAUGGACCUGAAGAAUAAAUCCAUGGAGGUCGCCUGCCCCAAUGCGUGCCUUACCCUACCAUUACCAGCCCAGAACAAAUGCUGCAUGCAAUGAUGCAACCAUAUCCUGUGAUGUGCUGCAGCCCAAUCGAUCGGCGCUAGCCGCUAGCACGCCUAUAAAAUGCCACUUCAUUGAAGUAGAUCCAUGCAGCGCCGAGCCAUAGCCACAGCCCACCGCGCGAGCAACGAUGUUCAGGUGCCCCAGCAAUGGCUACGGCCAACCGCACCCCACCGCGAACUACCACCGCACCCACUCCGGCGAACACGUCACCACCAAGGUCGCCCAGAAACCCUGCCAUGCCGGCGGCGCCGUGCAGCAGCACCACGUUGUCCACAAGGAGUCGUCGUUCAAGGAGCUGGACGGGGGUAACCGCCGCUGCUUCGACAACUAUCCCAUGAACGCUGCUAACAACGCGAACCACCACCGCUACGAGGCCUACGAGGAAACCUACGAGGAAACCAACUGCGAGGAGGAGACGUACGCGUACGGCGCCGGCCGCCACCAUGGUCACGGCAGCGGCGGCGGCGGGCGCCGCUUCCAGUACCAGACCCACGAGGAGACCUACGAGGAGGAGGAAGAGGAGGUCGUCGUGGGCGGGGGCGACGGCGCCGGCGCCGGCUGGGCCCAGCUCAGGCGCCCAUCCUGCCGCGCAUGAGCAGCAGGCACCUGCUCGUACGUGGAAUGUGUGGAUGCGAUGCGAGUCCGGAUUGGUGGACGCCACGCGUUGGUUCAUGGGUACAAUUGCAAAUUCUAAUAAUAACCUGCAGGUGACAACCUAGCUAAUCUCGUACGUAAAUAAAUUGUACUCCUAGUCCCAAUCCCCAUUAAUCCAUCGAUGCUCUGCAUCCACCGUAUGUAUUCCAUGUAUGGCUGUGAGUUGUGACACAAGUAAAACCAAAUUGACAAAAAAAGAUCAUGAAAUUGCGUGAACAAGUUUGUUGUGCCAGACCGAGGUGUAAGGUUACGGGCUAUACACACUACCGCUUCUUUGCCGGCAAAGGUCCUUUUGCACUCGGCAAAACACUUUGCGGAGUACGUGUUACAUUCUGUAAAUAAUAUUUGAUAAAUAUUUUAUCGGUAAGUGAUUUUUUGCUGAUAACUGUUUUUGGACAUUCGUCAAAGACUUUUCUGAGUGUCGAAAAACACUCGGCAAAUUUAAAACCGCAAAAAACCUAAAAAACAACAAAACAAUUUUUAAAUUAGGGAACAACCCCCAACGACCGCCAUUGCCCUACCAAUCACCAUAUCAUUUCACUAUUUUAUCAAAUAUACAUUUUUUUGUGAACGGUAAGAUUCGAACUUGCAACCUAUCUCUUGCUCAUAACCUCCUCUACCACACCACUAUAUCACAUGUGUCCAUAUUACUUUUUCGAGGCACUAAAUGAAUUCAAUUGAAAAUGUUGUCAACUGUAAAGUUGCAUAACUUUUUAAGAUCUACAACUUUCAUUUUGAUAGUUUUCUUCAUCCAAGUCUGUUUAAAAAAAUUGAAUUUCAAAUAUGAAAGCUUCAAACAUAUUUUCCUAUGACAAGAUGAUUUAAAAUCAAAAAAUUAUCAAUCACAAAGUUUCAUAACAUUUCAAGACCUACAACUUCUAUUUUGAUGUUUUUUCCAUCCAAUGUAGUUUGAAAAAUUUAAAAUUUAAAUUUCAAACAUAGUUUUGCAUGACAAUAUAAUUUCAAACCAAAAAGUUGUCAACUACAAAGUUUCAUAACUUUUCAGACCUACAAUUUUCAUUUUGGUGGUUUUUUCUCAUUUGAGGUCGUUUUCAAAAUUCGAAUUAUAAACUUUUUAAAUUAAGACGUAGUUUUCGUUGACAAGAUGACUUUAAAUCAAGUUGUCAACUAUAAAAUUCUAUAACUUCUCAAGAUCUAUAAAGUUUAUUUUGGUUGUUUGGUCAUUUGUUCAUCCCACUGAUGGUUCUAACAUUAUUCACAAAUCUUAUACAUAUCUCUUGUAGUUUCAUAAACUACGAGAGAUAUGUUUUAUGGACAAAUUUACUUUUAUUUUGUCAGAGCAACUCCAAUAGUUAUGUAAAUUUUAGCUCUCUAAAUCACAGACUUAAGAAGUUGCUAAAUGGCUUUUGAAGUAAAAAAAUGUGAGUUCUCCAAUAGUUCUCUAAAUAUAGGUUGUAAUUUUGUUUUGUAUUUAUCCACAUAAAAAAUAAGUCACAAAAAUUAUAUAAUGCAUUCAACAUUUUUGUUUAGGGAGUUGUUAAAUGGUUGCCAAAUGUAGAGAGAAAAUGAGGUUAGAUGACAAGUUGUUAAAUUUAGAAAGUUCAUUUAGAGAACUGUUGAAGAAUAGUUUUCAUGUUAACUACCUAAAUUAUUGAUUUAGGAAGUCUUUUAGAGAACUACUGGAGUUGCUCUCAUAUAAAGAAAUGAUCAAAAUAUAAAUUAUUUUAGAGAACUACCUAAAUUGUACAUUUUGAUGAGUUAUACAAAUUUAUAUUUAAAAACUUUUUUCAUUUAAAUUAUUUUACUGCUUGAAAAUAUGAUUUUAAAAUUGUCUUUUCCUAGUGUUGAAAAAAUACUCUGCAAAGAAGCUCUUUGGCUAAUGUCCAAAAAAGACUCUGCAAAGAAGUGUCAAAAAUAAAACACCCGGCAAAGCGUUUUUUUGCUGAGUGUUUUUUGCUUGGCACUCAACAAAGAGCUUCUUUGUCGAGUGCCCGAAAAAAACUCGGCAAAUCAUUUGGCACUCGACAAAGAACCAGAUUCCGGUAGUGAUAGCAAACAGUCAUAUCCUUUUUUCCAUGAACUUAAAAAACUACAACUCAAUUGUAAUGGAACUAUGCCAUAUAACGUUUUUUAAAAUAGUAAUCAUAAACAUUGAUGAACCCAAAUAUAUUCUAAGGUUUUUAAUUAGGUAUAGGGAACAUUAUUGUCAGGAGAUUUUGACACUAGCAAUAUAGAUAAACAUAUCACACAUAAGGAAUCAGAAGGGUUGCUAACUUGUAAUCAUACCUAAGGUACUUCAAGACGGUUCAAAAGUCCGCUCAAAAGAUAGGAGUACCACCAGGCACCAACAAAACUUGUCUCGGACAUAUGACAACUAGACCAAACCUCGAUCUAGUCAUUACCACCAGGUUAGCUUGACCACAACGACCUCGACCUGGUCACCAUGACCAAGUCAGCCCCUUUGCGAGACCAAACUCUUACCUAGUCACCCCAACUAGUACAACCCCGUCAUGGUCACCCUGAAUGCAGCAACCCCAACCUAGUCACCCCCAAUCAGGUCAGACCUAUCCUUGGUCGCCUCUAACAUACCUCAAUCUAGUUGCCAUGACCUAGUCAGUUUGAUCAAACUAGUUCUAACUUUGGUCACCUUGAGUGGGCCCGACCAGGAUGGCCUCGACACCAAUUGCUCCAAGCUAAGUCAGCCUAAGAUGCACAAACACGCCAGGUCUCAAUAGCACCAUGUUUCAAAAGUGUCAUAAAUCUUUGUGCGGGGUUAUCACAUUUAUGACCCUUUGAUCAUUCCGCUCAUGCUCCUAACUAGGCAUGUGGCAGUUAAAGUAGCUACGGUACAAAGAAUGUUGAAGACGUUUGUGGACAACCACCCCUCUAAAGGACAACAAGGAAUGGCAAGCCACGAUGGGCCUCACCUUGGGUGUUAGACAAUCUAGUGAGUACAUGGAAUAUUUGUACUGCUUUAAACAACUAUUUUGGACUUGUGGGGCUAUAUAUACGAAUCCAAUCAACCAUUUGAGGUGUGUGGGAGCUUAGAAAGAAUAUUAGAGAGCUAAGACUCCGUUUCUAUGGAUCUAUACACCCAAGUUCUCAUAGAAUCACUCGAUGAUUAGUAUAGGUGUGUUGCAAAGUACCUAGGUUAAUUAGAUCAUUGAAUUAGCGCUUGCUCUAGGCAUGUCCUAGUUCAUAGAAGUGAGGUUAGACAUUUUUCAACCCUUCGAUUUUUGCGUGCAUCAUUGCGUUGUAUCGAGUGGGGCUUGUAGCCUUGCAAGAUCACAUAAAAUGUGUCCGCGGUAUGACCACUACCGUGUAGUAGAGUGAACAAGGCUCAUGACGUUUUCGCCAGAAGAUCGAUAGUGGAGAUGACAAGAAACAUCCGAGAGAAGUCAGAAUCGAAGCAACACUUGCACAUGGCGGAGAAGGCCUUAGGCUAUCUAUAGAUUUACAACAAGUACUAGGGUAAAGCUUGCACACUUCUCGACACCUUGAUAAAAAAUACUGAUACAUCCACUUAGUUUGUGUAUCUAUUGCAUUUAAUCAUCCACAUUUAUAUUGUUACCUUAGUUACAUGUUUUACCUUUCUAGUUUAGUCAUAGGCUAGUUGAUAGGACCGAAAUCUAUGGUGCAUAACUCGUUUUGCAAUAGGGAUAGUAACACUAAGUCAAAACCUUAAUAGCACAUAUGAACAUUUGGUUAUCGACAUAGGUUUUAAUUAAGAGAAAAUAGAGGCCAUAGAUUACAGUGCAAUUAUAUUACCUAAUUCAACCCCCUUCUUAGAUGUCAUUAUUCCUUUCAUGUUCGAACCAAUUUGGUUGCAUUCCUAAAAGGUUAACCAUAGAAGCUAUUUUCUUAAAAAGAUAGGUGAUGGUGCAGUAUAGGGAGUAGAAGAUGGACCUACACAUGGUAUUAAUUUACUUGGAGAUGGCUUAUAACAAAAUACCAAGGAAUAUUAUUUGGUAGGCUUUAGACAAACAUAUAUUCCAAACAAAGUGUGUUAAACUCAUUAAGGACAUGUACAACAAUGUUGUGACUAAUGUUCGAACAAGCGAUAGGGACACAAAUGACUUCUCGUUUAGAAUAGGACUACAACAAGGUUAAGCUUUGAUCCAUUACCUUUUUGCUUGGGUGAUGAAUAAGGUCACAAGGGACAUAUGCAAGGGUAUCCCUUGUAUGCUUUUUUUAUGGAUGAUGUAGGCUAUAGUUGAUGAAAGUCAGGCAGGAGUAAUAUAAAACUAGAGUUGUGGUGGGAGACUUUAGAGUCCAAAUGUUUUAGACUUAGUAGAACUAAAACCGAAUACAUGAGAUGUAAUUCCGAUCCUUCUACACAUGAGGAAGGAGAUAUUAGUUUGGAAGGUCAAGUAGUGUCUAGGAAGGAAACUGUACAUUUAGGUAUUUAGGAUAAAUGCUAUAAACAAAUAUGGAUAUUGAUGAAGAUGUCAACAAAAGAAUCAGAGCAAGAUGGAUGAAGUGACAUCAAGCAUAUGAUAUUAUAUAUGACAAGAGGGUACCAUAAAAGCUAGAAGACAAGUUUUAUAUGACGAUGAUUAUACAUGUUUAUUGUACGAUGUAUAAUGUUGGUCUACAAAAAGACGACAUGUUCAACAGAUAAGUGUUGUGGAAAUUUAUGUGUUGCGUUGGAUUUAUGGUCAUACAAGAAGAUAUCAAGUCUAGAAUGAUGAUAUACACGAUAGGCUAGGGCUAUCUCUAAUUGAAGGAAAACUUGUUUAAUAUUGAUUGAGAUAGUUUGGAUAUGUCCAAUAAAAACAACUAGUCACUAGUGCAUAAUGAGAUCCUAAGACACAAUAGCAAUGAGAAGAUAUGAAGAGGAAGACUGUCGUUGACGCGGGAAGAGAUGGUAAAAAAGUUUUGAAAGGAUAAAAUAUACUUAAAGAUUUAGCCUUUAAUUGAAGUGCAUGAAAACAAUUAGACCAACUCCAGCAGCCUCCGUAUGCGGCUCCCCAUCUCCUUUUUGCACUGCGCAGUACACUAUUCAUCAGUCCAGCGGACUCCGUAUCCCUCUCCCAAAAAUGCACGCCGUGUAUUUGCACUCCCCUUUCCCAUGUAUUAUCUCUCCUCUCCGCACAUGUCUGAGCAACAUAGCAAUAAAAGUCUACGCUUGUGGGACCCAUCUGUCAUAUGUCAGUAUCACAUGCAUGCAUAUAUGGUGUGCGAUACGGAGUCUAUCUGCUGGAAACGCCCGCGGUUGGAGGCUCCGCAAUGGUGAUCGCGCCUACGUAUUUUACGGAUACGGAGCCACCUUUGCUGGAGUUGGUCUUAUCCAUGUGUCUCAAUCUUGAUUGAUUUAUGGGUUUUGUUGGGUUUUAAUUCUAGUGUAUCCAAAGAGCAGCUCCAACCAGAUGACUCAAAAUAGUAUCCAAAAAACUAAAAUACUACAUCAUUUAAAGUGUUUAAGGCACUAAAAACAAAUUACACUCCAACAGUUAAGCUCUAAAUCAUGUAUUUUAGGAAAUAAAUUACAUUAUUUGGAAAGAAAAUGUUGACGAUGAUGUACAAAAAAGAUAGGGCACUAGUUAGAUGGAUGUAGUAUAUUUGUGUCAAUUCAUUGUGUACCAUAUAAUUUUUUUGAUAAAAAAACUAUAAAAUACGGCACUCUUGAAGUUGUUUUUAUGAGUUAAGCCUUAUAUUUCAAGGUAGAACAUUGAUUUAAGGCACUAUUAUAGAUACUCUAACUACUUUUAAACUAAAAGACUUUAUUAUUAUCAUCGUUGUCAGCAGCAUACAUGAAGCGUACGACAUCGGUCUACACUACACGGUAGUAUACAAUAGUAGCAGCACCAGAAUUCGGAGUACCAUCACGUGACGCAAGACGUUCAAUGAUUAAUCCGUGAUAUGGAAUCAUUGUCAUUCCUGCUAUCGCUACGCCAGUCAGGGAAAAAAAAAGGAGGCCAUCAAAAUUGGGACGCGAAUAAAAUCUUCAAUAGCUUUAUAGAAAACAAUGAUCAAGGUUGCGAUGCGUCCUCACCCCUCACAAUGUAUAUAUAUGCCUUGACUAUAUAUAUAUAUGUAAGAGCAUCCGCAGUGCGUGGAAAAGAUUAUCUCAAUAACCAUUAGCCAAUUUCCUUUUCAUGAGCACAUUGAUUUCUUUGAGUUAUAGAAACCGGAGAUUCACACUGCCACGCAGCCUUGUCUGGUUCGAUCGAACAACUUCCAGCUAAGAUGCCAUUGUAGACACGUAUAUCUGAUUUUUUUUUUCUUUAUUUAAGAACGACAAACAUUAUCGUAGUUGGCUAACUAUUAGAGCUAGUUUGUGAACCCAAUUUUUCGAAAGGAUUUCCAUUUUCUUAAGAGAAAUUAGUUUAUUUUUCCUUAAAAAAAUAGAAAUCUCUUAAAAAAUAGUGUUUCCAAACUAGUUUUUAUAGGAAUGGCAACAAGGCUCGAUUAGCCUCCGUAGAGACAACAAGAGCACCAAUGUAAUCAACGAUUGCAUUGAAAUGAUAAGGGACAAUAAUUCAAUUUUCUAAGUUUUAGCUGAUUUAGCUACCCCCAUCCAGAUAAUGAACUAAUUGUUAUUUAGAGUCUAGUUAACAAUUAGCUAAAUCUUUAGCUGGUUGUUUAAAAUUUCUACAACUAAAUUUAGCUGCUAACAAUUAUCUCUAAAGGGUCGAAACAAACGAUAAAUUCAACUAUCAAAGCUCACAUUUUCAACGUUAUAUAAUCAAAUACCUUUAUCUUACUUCACUUUUUAACACCUGUAGCAUAAAAAACGCCAUACAAACCGAGUUAUGGAUCGAGCACAUAUGCGUUGCCUUGCCUGCCGUGCCGCCCCAUCACUACCACCUAACAAGCAAGUGGUGUCUAUCGAGUACAGAUGCUCAUGCGCUCAGCCUCUUUCUCAUUCUCACCACGACGCCUAUAAAGCAAGCCAAUCGCCAAUCCAUACGAACACAAAGCAGAGAGCUGCAACUUGGAAAAAAAAAAACAAAGCUCCUACUGCGAGCAUGGAUUCGCUUGUGAAGCGCAGCAAUGGCUAUGGUGCUUACGGCAGCAGCAAGCCCCAGAUGAGCUACCAUCGCCAGAGCACCGAGUCCGUGACCACCGUCGUCACGGAAAUUAACCGCAUGACCAUCAACGACAAGCCCUACUACGGCGGCGGCGGCGUGCAGAAGCAGGCCUGCAAGGUGGAGGCGUUCGAUGAGCACGACAAAGCAUACAACGGCACCCUGGCCGUGAAGAAGCACGACGAGUACGAGGAGGAGGAGGAGUACGGCCAAGUAGUCGACGCGGACUACGGUGCCCACUACGGCAACGCCGGCGCCGCUGUGAAGAAGCAAGGCUACAGCUACCAGCAGGAGGCGUACGGGGAGACUGGAGCUGCCGGGUACGGUGGCGCGGCAAUGAAGAAGCAAGGCUACAACUACACGAAGGAGGCGUGCGGAGAGAGCGACGCCGGCUACGGCGCUCACCACGGUGGCGCCGGUGCCGCCGUGCAGACGUACGCCUACAACCAGCAGGCGCUGUACGGUGGCUCCAUCGGUGCCGCCGUGCAGCAGCCGGCCUACAAGCAGAAGGGCGCCGCUAGUAAGACUAACGGCUCCCGGCAGAAGGUAUACGGGUACGGGGAAGCCGUCAACACAGCAGGGGCGGGGUACGGUGCUCACCACGGCGUCGUUGGCGCCGGGGCCGGGCAGCAGCACGGCUACCACCAGAAAGAUGCGUACGGGACCGGGUACGGCGCUGUCGCGGUCGUUGGCAAAGAGAAGAACGGAUACCAGUACCAGGAGGCGUACGGUGGAACUGACGCGGGAGGGUAUGGCGGCGCUCACUACGGCGGUGGUGGCGCCGUGCAGCAGCAUGGGUAUGGCGGCGUAACCGCCGGUGGCAAAGUGAAGCAGAGCGGCUACCAGUACCAGGAGGCGGCGUACGGCGGAACCGACGCGGGAGGAUACGGCGCUCACUACGGUGGUGGCGCCGCCGCCGCCAUUCAGAAGCACGGCUACAGGAAGGACGUGUACGAGAGCGAGACUGAGAGCGAGGACGACGAGAGCGACUGCGAGGAGGCGUUCCCGCCGCGCGGCGGCCGAAUGCAGGGCGGCGUCCAGGUGCAGCACGGCUACGGAGCUGACAACCUCGGCGGUGUGCGCCGCUACGAGUCGUACGAGAGCCGCGAGGAGCACGGCGACGGCCGCCGCUAUGAGUCGUACAAGAGCACCGUCCAGUACAACGGUGGCGGGCACGCCACGUGCUCCCCGAUCAAGAACCGCCACCUCCUUGGCUACGGCGCGUAGGCAUAAUACGCGCUGGCUGAUCCAGUGCACCUACGUACUGUAUAUUCGUAUGCUCUGUCGUAUAUAGACAGACAGGCCUAUAUGCCGCUACCGCUACGGCUACUUGGUCGAUGGAUCUGCUUGUGGUUGCUGAUGCAGCUAAACCAUCGAAAUAUCUAAAAAAAUAAGAUGUAACAUAAUGCCACCUUGGGAUAAUAAUGUAUGAUGCUGGGACACUCUGGUACGCCCAAAUCAAUAUAAACCUCAUAGAUAUACCAGUCUGAAGGGCUUUGUUCGGUAAUUUUAAUAAACGAGGAUCAGGGUUGAAAAAAAAAGGCUGAAGAGAACUUUGAAUAAAAAGCCCCAACUGAACAAGUUCGGAAUAGUUAGAGCCCAAUAUGACAAACUAGAUUCUGAGGUUUGAUUAUACAAACUGAAAUAGUUUGGGGGGCUUAUGGUGCAUUUUCACCAGUAAUACAUGUCGGCGUUUCGAGACCGGGGGUCCCUCAGGCCGACGAGUGAGUGCUGCGUGCCCCAGCCCAGAUGGGUCGAGCGCGUGGGCGAGCACAAAGGGGGAGAGAGCGAGGCGGCCGGAGUCCGGCGUGAGAGAGGUGGGAAUCCCGCGGCCUUCGUGUUCGUCCCGCGCCCAGGUCGGGUGCGCUUGCAGUAGGGGGUUACAAGCGUCCACGCGGGAGAGGGAAGCGAGCGGCCCCAAGAGAGCGCCUGUCCCGUCCUCGUCCCCGCGCGGCCAACCUUCUCUAAGAGGGCCCUGGUCCUUCCUUUUAUAGGCGUAAGGAGAGGAUCCAAGUGUACAACGGGGGUGUAGCAGAGUGCUACGUGUCUAGCGGGGGAGAGCUGACGCCCUAAGUACAUGCCAAUGUGGCAGCCGGAGAGAUCUUGGCACCCUGCUGGUGUGAUGUCGUGGCCGUCGGAGGAGCGACGGUGCCUGGCGGAGGGACAGCUGUUGGAGCGGUCGAGUCCUUGCUGACGUCCACCUGCUUCCGUAAGAGAGCUGAGAGCCGCCGUCGUCACAGAGCGUGCGGGGCGCCAUCAUUGCCUAUCUGGCGGAGCUGGCCAGAUGAGACACCGAUCUUGUUCCCUGCGGCCCGAGUCACCUUGGGGUAGGGUGAUGAUGGCGCUUCCCGUUGACGUGGCUGGCCUGCGCCCUAGGCUGGGCAAUGUGGAGGCUCCUCCGAAGCCGAGGUCGAGUCUGUCUUCCAUGGCCGAGGCCGAGUCCGAGCCCCUGGGUCGGGCGAGGCGGAGGUCGUCGGCAGAGGCCAGGGCGGAGUCCGAGCCCUGGGGUCGGGCGGAGCGAAGUUCGUCGUCUUCUAGGGCUGAGCCCGAGUCCGAGCCCUGGGUCGGGCGGAGCAGAGUUCGCCGUCUUCCGGGUCUUAGCCCGAGUCCGAGCCCUGGGUCGGGCGGAGCGGAGUUCGCCGUCUUCCGGGACUUAGCCCGAGUCCGAGCCCUGGGUCGGGCGGAGCGGAGUUCGCCGUCUUCCGGGACUUAGCCCGAGUCCGAGCCCUGGGUCGGGCGGAGCGGAGCUUCCUAUGGUGCCUUUGGCAGGGCCUGGCCGCCUGUCAGUCUCACUCUGUCGAGUGGCACUGUAGUCGGAGUGGCGCAGGCGCGCUGUCCUUCUGUCAGACCGGUCAGUGGAGCGGCGAAGUGACGGCGGUCACUUCGGCUCUGCCGGAGGGCGCGCGCCAGGAUAAAGAUGUCAGGCCACCUUUGCAUUAAAUGCUCCUGCGACUUGGUCGGUCGGUGCGGCGAUUUAGUCAGGGUUGCUUCUUAGCGAAGGCAGGGCCUCGGGCGAGCCGGAGAUGUGUCUGCCGUUGGAGGGGGGCCUCGGGCGAGACGGAAACCCUCUGGGGUCGGCUGCCCUUGUCCGAGGCUAGGCUCGGGCGAGGCGUGAUCGAGUCGCUCGAAUGGACUGAUCCCUGACUUAAUCACACCCAUCAGGCCUUUGCAGCUUUAUGCUGAUGGGGGUUACCAGCUGAGAAUUAGGAGUCUUGAGGGUACCCCUAAUUAUGGUCCCCGACAGUAGCCCCCGAGCCUCGAAGGGAGUGUUAACACUCGCUUGGAGGCUUUCGUCGCACUUUUUUGCAAGGGGACCAGCCUUUCUCGGUUGCAUUUUGUUCCGGUGGUGCGCGCGAGCGCACCCGCCGGGUGUAGCCCCCGAGGCCUCGGAGGAGUGGUUUCACUCCUCGAGGUCUUAAUGCCUUGCGUAACGCUUCGGCUGGUCUGGUUGUUCCCUCAUGCGAACCGGCCGUAGCCCGGGUGUACGGUCGAGGCCCAAGUUCUCGGGCUGGUAUGUUGACGCUGUCAACGGUUUGGCCGGAGCCGGGUUUGCGAGAGCAGCCCCCGAGCCUCUGCACAGGGCGAGAGGGCGAUCAGGGACAGACUCGGCUUUUUUACAUACGCCCCUACGUCGCCUUUCCGCAAGGAGGAGGGGGGGGAAAGCGCCAUGUUACCCUCGAUGGGCACCGAACAUGGUGUCUCCGGUGAGCUGCAAGCGGGUAAUCCGAGUGGAUGUCCGUGCCCCGUUCGUUAGGGGUCGGCUAGGGGCCCAGAGGCACGCCCAAAAGUACCAGCGGGUGAUCUGCCGGACCCGGUCCCCUGGCGACGGGGUCCGAGGGCUCGAUGCCUCCCUCCGAUGGGAUUCCGUUACAAGAUCGCUCCCGCUGGUCUCGGAAAUGUCCUAGGGUACCUCGGGAGCGCAGCCCGAGCCUCGGUUAUGUAUCGAACGUACCCCUGGUCAUCCCUCGCUCGGUGUCUGAGGCGACUGUGAACCCUUCGGGGGCCAGCCUUCGAACCCCUGAUCAGUAAUGGGCGCGGAGCCCGGGUAGCCUGAGGCGGCCGUGGAACCCUUCGGGGGGUGGCCUUCGAACCUCUGACCAGUAGUGGGUGUAGGGCCCACGCGAUCUGAGGCGGCUGUUGAACCCUUCGGGGGGCCAGCCUUCGAACCUCUGAUCAGUAAGGAGGCUCGGAGCCUGGUUCCUUCACGGGGAAGGAUCCUUUUCGGGGUAUCCCCUUCCCCGGUCCCUGUUGCAAGAGAUAGAGAAAGAGGAAAAAAACGAAAAGGAUACGGAAUCGAAACGACGCGGCGUACCUUUUUUGGCGCGGUUAUUUCGGCGAAGGCGAAGCGUCGCCCGCUUCUCCUGCCAGAAGCGCCGCCUGUCCUGCCGCGGAGUUAAUGCGACGGGGCGAGUGGUUGGCGGGGCGGCCGUUGCGCGUGCGCGAGCCGCUCGAGGAACGGAUCACGGGCGCGUCGUCUUCACGCCGUGAGAGGGGGUUCUCUUGCUGCCCCCGGAUGGGAUGUGAGCCUGGCUGAUGACGUGACCGCUACUCCCGCCCGCCUGCCACCGCCAUUACUGUCGGCCCACUUUUGGCCGCGUUUGACCGCCGCGUCAGGCUGGCGCCGCUGGGUCGUCCGUCAGCGGGACCGACGCCGGAGUCGAUCAGCCGAGGCCUCGGGUCGGGCUGGCGCCCUUGGAAGAUGGUUGGCCGAGGCCCCAGGGGUAACCGGUCGAGCCGCCUGCUCGGGCCGGAUUCCCGGAGAAGUCCCUGGCAGCGAUUGCCCGGGCGUGAUGAUGACGUCGUCCUCCAGAGCGGAGAUCCUCAGACCGCGUCGCUGUCCGAGGCUAGGUCGGAUCUCGCCGAAGGUGUCGUCGAUGCCGAGGGUGCUGCUGCCCCUUCCAGCGCCAAGACCCGAGCCUGCAGGAUCAGAGUGUCUUGUAGCGUGUGCCUUCUGUGGCCGCCGAGGCCAGAAUACACACCCUCGCUGUGUUGUAAAGCUGCGUCUCCUUUCCUCUUGUUUCGAGUAUCUGGACUUUUUUGUCGGUAACAGGGAUGUUUGUGCGGGCGAGAGUUGUUUCUCGCGGAAGGUGACGAGUGAGGUAUCCGUAUCCCGGAGGCGUAGGAGUCCCUCGGCUCGGUCGGCCUUGCCGCUUACGCGCACCUUUACCCGUCCAUGAGGCCCUGUCACCGACUCAGUCGAGAAGGCUCGAAGGAUCGCUUCGGCAGAAGAGCUUCCGAACGUAAAGACUUGUUCGGUCCGCGGAGUCACUUUAUCCGAACGCGAGUUACUUCUCGCAGAAGGUGAUGAGUGAGGUAUCCGUAUCCCGGAGGCGUAGGAGUCCCUCGGCUCGGUCAGCCUUGGCUGCUUACGUGUACUCCAUCGUUUUCAGGAUCCACUUUUCGAAGUAGUCAAAAAGCACGAAAGAUAUUCUGGCAGAAGAGAUCUUUUUUUCAAGGAAAAUUUCAACGCAGAGGGGUUCCCCCCCUUUUAGCCCCCGAGGGAGGGUCGGGCUUUGCCGAGGCGAGGCCGACCCUUCCUUGAUGACUAAACUUUGCGUGGGUGCGAGGUAUAUGAAUAACUUGAAAACAUCUUAAGGGUAGAAGCGACGUAGCUGUUGGACGUUCCAAGCGUUGCCGUAGACCUCGCCUUGGCUGUUGGCCAGCUUGUACGUUCCGGGCUUCAGAACUUUGGCGAUGACGAAUGGCCCCUCCCAGGGGGGCGUGAGCUUGUGCCUCCCUCGGGCGUCUUGCCGCAGUCGAAGCACUAGGCCGCCCACCUAGAGGUCUCGGGGCCGGACCCCUCGGGCGUGGUAGCGUCGCAGGGACUGCUGGUACCGCGCCGAGUGUAGUAAGGCCUUGUCCCGAGCCUCUUCCAGCUGGUCCAGCGAGUCUUCUCGGCUAGCUUGGUUGCUUUGAUCGUCGUAGGCCCUCGUCCUCGGGGAGCCGUAUUCCAGGUCAGUGGGCAAGACGGCCUCGGCCCCGUAGACCAGGAAGAACGGCGUGAAACCCGUGGCUCGGCUCGGCGUUGUCCUCAGGCUCCAGACCACCGAGGGGAGUUCCUUCAUCCACCGCUUGCCGAACUUGUUGAGAUUGUUGUAGAUCCGAGGCUUGAGCCCUUGUAGAAUCAUGCCGUUGGCACGCUCUACUUGCCCAUUCGACAUGGGAUGAGCCACGGCAGCCCAGUCCACCCGGAUGUGGUGAUCCUCGCAGAAAUCCAAGAAUUUUCUGCCGGUGAACUGGGUACCGUUGUUAGUGAUGAUGGAGUUCGGGCACAGGACCAAGAAGUAGCCGAGGCGGGCGUGUUGCUUACUGAGGUUGGAUUACUGAAAGAGAGAGGUCUGACUGCCGAAGCUGUGGUCACAGAUUUUGUUUUCAAAAACAUUCAGCCGCUGAAGGACAGGGCCUAUCCAGCAUAUCUUUACCGAGGGCUGGCCGACCCAACUCGAGUUACUAAUAGGAGAAUUCCUUCUGUUGAUUUGGUGAGCCGACUCGAGAUGAUCCUCAGGGGUAAGGUUUCAAACGUUGGAGCUCCAGUGGCAUACUCGGCUUGGAACCUGCCUUCUCCCAAAGAUUUCACUCUUUUUGUGUCCAAUCCGCCCGUGACAGAUAGCAAUUUGGGUCUUAGAGUUCGACCUUCUGCUGAAGAUGUCCGUUCCUUAGUUGCUUCGCUCGGGGAGAUACCUGAUGAUGAACGACAGAUUUAUUUUGAAGUGCCCCUGAACCCUAGUGACGCAGACAUAAAUGACAUGCUCGAUCUGCUAGCUGAGGAUUCGUCUGAUACUGUUCCUGAUGGUACACUGGCAGUGGUGCCGCCUCCAGAGGUUGAUGCGACCUUGGAUGUCUCGAAACCUGCCAAUACUCGCCCGAGGCGUCCUAGCCGAACCAGUCAGCCCGAGCCUUCUGCUGAUGAGCAGAAAAGGAAAAGAAGACGCCUCCGGCGAGUGUCUAGCUUUGAUGAGGACGCCAGCACCUUAGCUCCUACUGCUGAAGAAAUGACUGCGACUGGUCUAGCUGACGUUGAUCCCAAUGGGUGUGCUCCGCCUGUUGCUGACCCUAAUGAGGAUGCUGUUUGCGCUGCUGCUGUGGAAGAUGAGGAGGAAGAGAAUGAAACUCCAUUAACUCGGAAGAACAGUCGGCAGCUCGUCGCUAGCGGUGGUAGUAGUGGGGUUCCUUCUCCUGCCUUGUCUGCUCUUAUUGGUCUGCAAGAACUGUCCAUGACCAAUUUUGAUCAAGCUCUAGAGGAUAUGGUCCCUGAGAACUUGCUGUUGGAACCUGCAGACGUUGAUGCAACAGAAAUUUGCGCAGCCGUGCCAGAUGCAGGGUUGAGGUCGUCCCGUGCCUCGUUGACCUUAGAGCACGAUCUUGAGGGCCGGGAUAAUGACUUGGACCGUCCUGAUCCUGUGGAAACAGCUGAAGGCCCGUCGACCUUAGAGGUGGUCACGGCAGAGAGCUUGGAUCCUUUGAAUAGUGCUGACAUGUGCCCAGCCCCCGAGGGUGUCGCCGGGGAGGACUCAACUCAGGUGAGGAGUGUAGGCCACUACCCAGCCCCCGAGGGUGUUGCCGGGGGUGACCCGGCUCAAGUGGGCAGUGCCAACCUUGACCCAGCCCCCGAGGGUGUCCGAGCGGGGUCUCCCUCCUGCACUUCUAUGGAUGUUCAUGUGGGUUCACCUCCACAUUCUGGCGGCAUGACGGUGGCUCGGACUCCGGAUCAGGGGGUCGCUUUGGAGGGCAGCAUCCCCACUGGUCUGAAGUUGAACUCUGCUGAAUGUACUGAGCUUGUUCCUGCUGGCCUACUGCGAGCUGCUUCGGGUGGUGGUCUGAUACCUGAUUAUCAGCUGAUUUCUCCUGACCUGGGGAUCCCUUCGUUCUUUUCCAACCUCCAGGUGCUGUGCCGUGCUUUAAUUUGAUCUCUAUGUUGCAUGAAUUGCUGUCAUUAUACUCAUCUGUUCUUCUCGUCAGGCUUUGGUGAAUGGAUUGGUCAGUCAACUGAAAUCACAGGGUGCUUCUACCCCAGAAGUGGCAUCAUCUCUCGAGUGUUGGAAUCCAGUGUUGCUUCGUCGUCGUGUAUCUGAGUUGGAGGCCAUCAAUGCUGGUCAGUGUCCUUUCUUCUUCUUCUUUAUUCUUGUCCGUAGGUUGUUUUACCUUCUGACCUCGUUUUGUUUGAAUACUUCUUGAUAGGGAUGACUCGGCAGAUCAUAGUUCUUGAAGAAAAACAUUCUCAAGAUCAAGCUGAAAUGACUCGACGAUGCGCUGACUUCGAGGAGAAGUAUUCUCAAAGUCAGAUCGAGUUGAGUCAGGUCUCUGCGGCUUUGGAUGACGCUAACGCUCUGAGUUCUUCUCUUCAUGUUCAGCUUAACUCUGAGAAGGUAGCUUACGAACCUGUGCUUCGUCUUAUCACGCUCUUGGAUUCUGAAUGAGCUUGAUUUUUGCUUGUAGGAAGAAAAACGUAUCCUUGCUGCUUCUCGCGACAACUUGGACAGACUGUACCGGGAUUCCAGUAACUCGCUGACCAUCUUGGAGAGGAGCCACCGCUUCACGAUGGAGGAACUUGACAGUCAGCGCUGUCAACUGCAAGAAUCUUCGGACGAAGUGGCCCGCCUUACACAGUUGCUAUCAGCAAAGGAUGCCUCCAUCAAGGAACUCCGAGCUUCCAAGAAAACCAUUGCCCGGGAGUUGGAAACUGCUCAGCAGGCUGUUAAAGUUGCUGAAGAGGCUGCUGUCACUUUCAAAACUCAGCGCGAUAAGGCCCUGGACAAGGCCAUUCGGGCGGGACGAAUCUUGAUGAGAAGACCUGGCGUGGUUGUCCCCGAGGAUAUAAGAGCCGAUGUGGUUGCUGCCCCUGAUUCCUCGAAUCGCCCUUCUUCGUCAGUCGCUCCUGAGAGAGACAUUGGAAAAUAAAGAAACAGUUCGCGUGCUCUGAGCGCGCAGUUAGCAUGAGCAAGUAUUUAUUUAGAGGACAUCAGCUUAUCACUCGAAUGUUAUGAUUUCUUUCUUAUCGUAUCAGAAUUUAUUAGUUUGCAAAUUUGUGGUAUGCUACAUGAUAAUUAUGAAGUUUGUUUGUGGGAUAUGGAGAUCAUCCCUUGAACUGCAUAAGCGUGAGUAUGCUAUACUGGUUUAAACCAUCAAUUACUUUUAGCCGGUAACUUCCGUUAGUAGGGCAUAGUGGUCACCCCUGAGUUAAAUAAGCGUGAGCAUGUUGCACCGCCUUAAGUCGUUGCCGAAUUAAGCCGAUUGCUCCGUUUGCAGGGCGUAGUGGUCACCCCGAGUUAAGUAAGCGUGAGCAUGUUGCACCGCCUUAAGUCGUUGCCGACUUAAGCCGAUUGCUCCGUUUGUAGGGCAUAGUGGUCACCCCGAGUUAAGUAAGCGUGAGCAUGUUGCACCGCCUUAAGUCGUUGCCGACUUAAGCCGAUUGCUCCGUUUGUAGGGCAUAGUGGUCACCCCGAGUUAAGUAAGCGUGAGCAUGUUGCACCGCCUUAAGUCGUUGCCGACUUAAGCCGAUUGCUCCGUUUGUAGGGCAUAGUGGUCACCCCGAGUUAAGUAAGCGUGAGCAUGUUGCACCGCCUUAAGUCGUUGCCGACUUAAGCCGAUUGCUCCGUUUGUAGGGCAUAGUGGUCACCCCGAGUUAAGUAAGCGUGAGCAUGUUGCACCGCCUUAAGUCGUUGCCGACUUAAGCCGAUUGCUCCGUUUGUAGGGCAUAGUGGUCACCCCGAGUUAAGUAAGCGUGAGCAUGUUGCACCGCCUUAAGUCGUUGCCGACUUAAGCCGAUUGCUCCGUUUGUAGGGCAUAGUGGUCACCCCGAGUUAAGUAAGCGUGAGCAUGUUGCACCGCCUUAAGUCGUUGCCGACUUAAGCCGAUUGCUCCGUUUGUAGGGCAUAGUGGUCACCCCGAGUUAAGUAAGAAUGCAAGUCAAUCAUAAAUGAAUCAAGUAUCUUUGAAAUUUCUCUUUAUUGAUGACAUAUUUCCACUUUACAGAGUACAUGGCCGCCCCAGCUGUUUUGAAGUACAGCUAGGGGUAAAACUUUCUGAGGUGCUCUAUGUUCCAAGAGUUCCCGACUUCUGUACCAUCCAUCUGGGUGAGGCGAUACGAUCCGGGUCGAGUGACCUCUGCCACUAUGAAGGGUCCUUCCCAUAAGGGUGAUAGCUUGUGUCGUCCCUCCCCCGUUAGAAUUCGGCGGAGGACGAGGUCCCCUACUGAAAAGAACCUUUGCCGCACAGCCUUAUCGUGAUAGCGCCUUAGAGUCUGCUGGUAUCGCGCUGAUUGUAUUACUGCAUUCAGUCGUUCUUCCUCAAGUAUAUCAAUAUCCUCCAGCCUGGUGGCCUCAGCUUCCGCUAUGCUUUCGAAAAUCAAUCUUGGCGCCCCAAACUUGAGAUCAGCGGGUAGCACUGCUUCCGACCCAUAGACCAUGAAAAAAGGAGUGUUUCCAUGCAGGGCCCGGCUAGGUUGAGUUCUCAAGCUCCAAACAACAUAAGGCAAUUCUCUUAUCCAUUUUCCUGCGAAUUUUUCAUUUUUAUCAAAGACCCUUUUUCUGAGUGCCUCCAAUAUCAUUCCGUUGGCUCGCUCAACCUGCCCGUUGGCUCUCGGAUGGGCUACAGAUGCAUACUUGAUCUGAAUGCUUUUCUGCUCGCAGAAGUCAAAGAAUUCUGAACUGGUAAAGUUGGAUCCCAAGUCGGUGAUGAUACUGUUUGGUAUCCCAAAUCUGAAUAUUAUGCUUUGUAUGAAUUCCACGGCUUUAGCAGAGGUUAAAGAGGCAAUGGGCUGGAACUCUAUCCAUUUAGUGAACUUGUCAAUUGCCACCAAUACAUGGGUGUAUCCUCCUUGAGCUUUCUUGAAAGGUCCAAUCAUAUCCAAUCCCCAGCAUGCAAAAGGCCAAGUUACUGGUAUGGUUUGUAGCUGCUGUGCUGGCAGGUGCUGUUGUUUUGACAGGUACUGGCAAGCUUCGCAUCUCUGAACUAGCUCAGCUGCAUCAUUCUUUGCUGUCGGCCAAUAGAAUCCUGACCUGAAAACCUUCCCGACUAAUGUUCUGGAUGCUGCAUGUAUUCCGCACUGCCCUGCGUGGACUUCCUCCAGAAGUUGCUUCCCGGUGGACGGGAGAACGCACUUCAUGAGGACGCCUGACGCGCCCCUCCGAUAUAAUACCUCCCCAAUGAGUGUGUAGUGAGCUGAUUGUCUGGCAAUGCGCUCUGCUGAGUUCUUGUCAUCUGGCUCUUCUUCAUUCUUUAUAUACUUAAUAAUCGGUUGCCUCCAGUCAUCAGAGUCUGACUCGGGUUGGUCUAUGAUGUUGCACUCUUCUAUUUGAUCCAUCGAGAUGCUCGGCUGAAGGAUUUCUUGCACGAAGACCCCGGGCGGGACUUGAGUUCGACCGGAUCCGAGCUUGGACAGUAUAUCAGCCGCCGUGUUCCGAUCUCUUUCUAUAUGAUGAAACUCCAGACCUUCGAAUUUAUCUUCUAGCUUUCGGACGGCGGCGCAGUAUCUCCCCAUUGAAUCAUUUGAACAAUCCCAUUCCUUGUUUAUCUGACUGAUGACUACCAGAGAAUCCCCAUAUACCAUCAGUCUCUUGACACCCAGCGAUGUGGCGAUAUUUAAUCCGUGUAUCAAAGCUUCAUACUCGGCUGCGUUGUUAGAGGCCGGGAAUAGCAAUUGGAGAGCGUACUUGAGGUGUUCGCCUCCAGGUGCAGUGAAGAGAAUUCCUGCUCCUGCUCCCUGCAGCUUCAGCGAGCCAUCAAAAUACAUUCGCCAUACUUCUGUGGUUUCUGGAUUAUCCGGCACUUGCUGUUCUGUCCACUCUGAUACGAAGUCGACCAGUGCUUGAGUUUUGAUGGCAGUGCGAGGUCGGAACUCGAUAUCAUGGGACCCCAACUCGCAAGCCCACUUGGCUAUCCGGCCAAUGGCCUCCUUGUUGUGAAGAAUGUCCCCUAUGGGAAAACCAGUAACUACUAUGACUUUGUGGUCGUCAAAGUAGUGACGCAACUUGCGGGCAGUUAGAAGUACUGCAUAUAAUAGCUUCUGAACUUGAGGAUACUUUUUCUUCGAUGGGCCUAGAACCUCACUGAUGAAAUAGACGGGGUGUUGAACCGGGUAGGCAUGCCCUUCUUCCACUCGCUCGACUACCAACGCAGUGCUUACCACGUGAGUCGUGCAAGAGAUAUAUAACAGCAGAUCUUCAGCCGGCUGAGUCGGCGUAGCUCGCCGGGGCGGUUUCAAUACUGGCGGUGUUGUCAGGAAUUUCUUCAGUGCGUCUAGAGCUUCUUGUGCCUCUGAAGUCCAUUGAAACUUAUCCACCUUCUUCAGUAGUUUAUAAAAUGGCAGACCUUUUUCUCCCAGUCUGGAUAUGAAUCUGCUCAGGGCUGCCAUACAUCCAGUGAGUCGCUGAACCUUCUUCUGUGAUCGAGGAGCUUCCAUCUUCAUGAUAGCUUCAAUCUUAUCUGGAUUAGCUUCAAUUCCCCGGUGGCUGACAAUAAAUCCGAGUAACUUUCCUGCUGGUACCCCGAAGACGCAUUUUUCAGGAUUGAGCUUCCAUCUAUAUCUUCUCAGGCUGUUGAAAACCAGCUGUAAGUCUUCGAUGAAGUUUUCUGGAUUCUCCGUUUUGAUCACCACAUCGUCCACGUAAGCUUCCACACGCUUGCCCCAGUGAUCGGCUAAGCAUGUUUGAAUAGCUCUCUGGUAAGUCGCUCCAGCGUUUUUGAGGCCAAACGGCAUGGAGGUAUAACAGAAAGCACCAAAUGGGGUGAUGAACGCCGUUUUUUCCUCGUCUUCUUUUGCCAAACUAAUCUGAUGAUACCCGGAAUAGCAAUCUAAGAAAGACAGCAUCGAACAUCCAGCGGUGGAAUCCACCACUUGAUCUAUCCUUGGGAGCCCGAAGGGAUCCUUCGGACAGUGUUUGUUGAGAUCAGUAUAGUCGACGCACAUGCGCCAAUCCACUUUAUUCUUUUUGAGUACAAGAACAGGGUUGGCUAACCACUCGGGGUGUAAUACUUCUCUAAUAAAUCCGGCCGUGACCAAGCGAGCUAACUCGGCACGAAUGGCCUCUCUCUUGUCGGGCGUGAAACGACGCAGCUUUUGCCGGAUUGGCCUCGCCUGGGGAUAGACCUUCAAUUUGUGCUCGGCCAGUUCUCUUGGGACUCCCGGCAUAUCCGCAGGUUGCCAUGCGAAUACGUCUCGGUUAUCUUGCAGGAACUGGACGAGCGCGCUUUCCUAUUUGUCACUCAAACUGGAGCUGAUGAUGGCCGUCUUGCGCUCAUCAGCGAAGCCCAGGUUGAUCCGCUUGGUGUCUUCAGUCGGCCGCAUAGAGGUCGCGGCCUGAGCUUCGUUUGCCGGUACGGCGAGGUCUUCAUCAGGCUUAGAGUUCGCCGGUGUAGAAGAAAUCGCUGAUGGCUUGGUGGUGAGGGCUGCCUGGAUGGCCACUCGGAAACAUUCUGCGGCGCCUUGGAAGUCAGCGCGUACAGUUAUGAUUCCUUGUGGUCCUGGCAUCUUCAGUAUCAUGUACGUGUAGUGUGGAAUGGCCAUGAACUUGGCCAGCCCUGGCCUCCCGAUGAUGGCGUUGUACCCGCAGUCGAAGUUCGCCACCUCGAACCUCAGGAACUCGGUUCUGUAAUUAUCCGGAGUCCCAAAGGUGACCGGCAUGUAGAUGUGGCCCAGCGGAUACUCCCCUUCCGUCGGCACGAUGCCGAAGAAAGGAGCGUCUGACUCGUGGAGCUCUUUGAGGCGAACUCCCAAGCCUUGAAGCGUACGGGGGAAGGUGAUGUUGAUGCUGCUCCCCCCGUCCACUAGUACCUUCUUCACCCGGCUCUCUCGGAUCACCGGAUCGACGAGGAGCGGGUAUUUGCCUGGGUGGUCGAAGUUGAGCCAUUGAUCCUCCCGAGUGAACGUGAUUGGGUGCUCCGACCACCGGUACGGGGCGGGAGGGCCGGUGGUCGCCACCAGUAUCUGGCGGUCGUUGAGCUUUUGUUGUCUCUUGUUCUCCUGCGACCCAUGCCCGCCGAAGAUGACGUUGACCUCCCUGUCAACGCGCGGGAAAGCUCCACCUCCCCCUUCCUCCGGCUGAUGGGGUUGUCGUGGUUCAUCUGGUCCUCCCCUCGGAGGAGGAGGUGGUAGAGGUUGGAAGGGUCGGCCAUGCCCGACGGAGUGCUUGAAGUCCCGGCAGUUGCGGAGAGUGUGGCGCAUAUCCUUGUGGUACGGGCACUGGGCGUCGAGGAUGUCGUCCAGCGUGCGUUCGCCUCCACGAGGUCCUCCUCGGGCGCGAGAGGCGGGUGGUCCGGCGGCGUGUACCUCUUCGCGAGGCCUCUUCUCCCAGCGCUUGUCGGACGGCUGGUUCGCGUCGCGUCGUGGUGCCGCUGGUACGGGUUUUGUUCCUCCGAUGAGGUCCUGGGCCCGCUCGUCAGCGGUGAUGUAGAGGUCGGCUUCCCGGAACAGCUCCUCGGAGGUGGUUGGCGCCUUUUGCAGUAUGGUUCGGACGAAAGCCGAGUCAUUAGAUCCUCUGUAGAAGUCCUCGAUCACGGCCGCCUCCGUGACCUCGGGGAUGCGGUUUCUCAUGGUCUGGAACCUUUUAAGGUAUGACCGGAGAGUCUCAUCUCCCCGGCGCUUGAUGGAUUUGAGGUCCCAUGGUUGCGCUGGCUUGUCGGAGAGAGACUGGAAGUUGGCGGUGAAUCGUCGGCUGAAGUCUCCCCAGUCGUCGAUGCAGUGUCGGGGUAGAUGCCGUAGCCACUGCAGUGCGUCUUGCCCGAGGACGAUGGGCAGAUACGCAGUCAUGACGUCCUCAGAUGCCCCGGCAGCCCGAGCGGCGGUGGUGUAGACGGCUAACCAGCCCCCUGGGUCCUGCUUAGGUUCAUAUUUGUCGACAUUGGAUACCUUGAAGUUUGGAGGCCAUUGGAUGGCCCUAAGGCGCGGAGUAAGAGCAGAUACUCCGCACGUGUCCUCCUGUCGUCGAGGAUGUCGCCUGUCCCGGGGAGGGGAGUGGCGGUGGUGGUUCCUCGACCGUUCCCGGGAGGUUCCACCAGUUGAAGCCGUUGCUGACUCAGUUCGGGUGGCCUGGCUUUGAGUCGGGAAGCCAUGAUCUCGGUCAUACUCCUCCCGACGGCGAAUUUCGUUCUCGUGCCGCCGCUCGCGCGAAGCAUUGAUAGAGCUUCGCGCGUCUCGGCGACUGUUGAUGGCGUGUCGCAGAUCGUUCGGCGGAUGGGCGAGCGGUAGAAGAUGGUUGGCUGCCUGAGUGAACAGGCGCCGGUAUCCCUCGGCAUCGGGGGUCCGAGGAAGUCCGUCGGCUAUCCGGGCCAGAACGCCUCCGACUUCGCUCGGCGUAUUCAUAGCUCGGGCGAAGUCGGGGUUCAGGUUGCGCCCGAAGAGCGGAUUCUCGCGUCGUUGCCUUGCAUCUUGCUCGGCUUGCUCCUGAGUCCGACGGCGAUCUCGUCGUCGGGAGUUCCUUCGUUCCCUGAAGACGCGUUCUUCCGGAGUUUCUCCUAUCUCUGAGACCUCGUCUCGCGAGACAGGCUGCUCCGGAUUCCGUUCUCCAGCUGCGUGGUGUCGUCGGAUGUUCCUGCGUCGGUUCCUUCGUCGGCGGGACUCUCGCUGAGGCGGUUCUUCUCCAGGUGCAGUCGGUUCAUCGUCGGAGACGGCGAGCGAUUCUGCCCUCCCAAUGAAGAGGACGUCGGGGUAGAACGGCAUUGCUGCCGCGGCGAAUUUCUUUCUGUUCUCCUUUGAGGCCGGAGGAACGGGAAGAAUGACUGGCCUCUCUCUGAUCUCCUUCCUUCUCAUGACCUGUGUCCAUUCUUUCGUCGGGGGAGUAGACAGCGGAGUCUUCCGGGUCAGCGAGCGUCUAGCUCCAGCCUCCCCGGAGGCGAUCUUGUUCCGAAGAGCCGGAGGUAGCGUUUUUCCAGCAUUCUCGGAGUUUGUUGGAGGAGACUUCUGUUCCGGUAGAUCCGCGAGGCGAUGUAGAAUUCCCUCUUCGUCCGCCACGGAUGAGAUUGUUCCGAAGCAGAAUGUGGAUCCGGGACGCAUGGUAAUCUUGCUGUGGAAGGUGACGGCCAUUGAGCUAGCUUGGAUCGUCGACACACCCCCUACCUGGCGCGCCAGCUGUCGGUGUUUUGGGUCCGACCGCACACCCGGGGUUGCCCCUCAAGGUGCUUUUAGGAGUAGGACGGUGUCGACGACUGUAGCAAAAUGGUUCGUGCCGAUCGCACGAGGGACAAUGGACAAGGUUUGCAGGUUCGGGCCGCUUAGAAGUGCGUAACACCCUACGUCCUGGUGAGUAUAUGAGCGUGGUUACAAGAGGAUUCUCUGGAUAGAGGGCACAGAGAAUGUUUGUGGGUGGCUAAGUAGAGUAGGAUCGAUCGAUCUGAAGGGGUGCCCCCUAGGCCUUAUAUACUCGGCCGUGGAGCAUUACAUAUGUUAUGAUAGCAACAAGUAGCUGAAAGAUAGUGAACUUCUUGAGCUUAUCCCUACGUAACCUCCGCCGACUUAUCCUCGCAUGGCUCCGUUGCAUGGGGGCUUCAGCGCGGGAAAGUCGGGUUUCUGUUUGUGAUUCAUUCGUUCGACGUUGUGGGCCGCCUGUGCUUGCACUAAUCAGUCCCGCGUCCUUUUUAUUGGUGGUCUUUCCCUAGGCCCACGAAAGAAUGACCUUACGAAUUAUUGGGCCCUUGGGCUUUUCGUGAGGCCUUUUACUUCUUUAGUGGACCCAGGGGAUAUCUAUCCCCCACAACCCCGAAGCGAUGGAUGAUGUUGGUGAAGAACGCCACCGCCUGCUCGGACCUGAUGCUGUUUAGAGGUCGGACCUCGACCCACUUGGAGAAUUUGUCGAUGGCGACCAGCAGGUGCGUGUAGCCCCCGGGCGCCUUAUGCAAGGGGCCGACGAGGUCCAGACCCCACACAGCAAAGGGCCAGGUGAUGGGUAUCGUCUGUAGAGCCUGAGCAGGCAGGUGGGUCUGCUUCGCAUAGAAUUGACACCCUUCGCAGGUGCGGACAAUUCUAGUGGUGUCCGCCACCGCCGUUGGCCAGUAGAAGCCUUGCCGGAAAGCAUUCCCGACAAGGGCUCGAGGCGCUGCGUGAUGGCCGCAAGCCCUCGAGUGUAUCUCUUGGAGGAGUUCCUGACCUUCGGCGACGGAGAUGCAUCGCUGGAGGAUGCCUGAGGGACUGCGGUGGUAGAGCUCCUUCUCAUCGCCCAGCAAGACGAAUGACUUGGCGCGUCGUGCUACCCGCCGAGCCUCGGCUCGGUCGAGGGGUAGCUCUCCUUAGCGGAGAUAUUGCAGGUACGGGGUCUGCCAAUUUCGAUCAGGCGUGGCUGAGAGCACCUAGAGGGGGGGUGAAUAGGUGAUCCUGUGAAACUUAAACUUAUAGCCACAAAAACUUGUUAAGUGUUAGCACAAUAAUCGCCAAGUGGCUAGAGAUGAGUCUCAACAAAACACAAUGCCACAAGAGAUCAAACACAGAGAUGACACAGUGGUUUAUCCCGUGGUUCGGCCAAGACCAACGCUUGCCUACUCCACGUUGUGGCGUCCCAACGGACGAGGGUUGCAAUCAACCCCUCUCAAGCGGUCCAAAGACCAACUUGAAUACCACGGUGUUUUGCUUUGCCUUUCAAUAUCCCGUUUGCGAGGAAUCUCCACAACUUGGAGCCUCUCGCCCUUACACUUGAGAUUCACAAAGAAAUACGGAGUAAGGGAGGAACUAGCAACGCACACAAGACUCAAAAUCAGAGCAACAGCACGCACACAAGUCGCAACAAGAGCUCGCAACACAACUCAAUGAGUUCACAACUCAACAAGAGCUCUAGAUGCUAUCACAAUGAACCAAAUGCGCGGAAUCGAUGUCUUGGUGCUUAGGAAUGUUGUAGGAAUACUUGGUGUGCUCCUCCAUGCGCCUAGGGGUCCCUUUUAUAGCCCCAAGGCAGCUAGGAGCCGUUGAGAGCAAAUCUGGAAGGCCAUUCUUGUCUUCUGUCAUCGGGCGCACCGGACAGUCCGGUGCACACCGGACACUGUCCUGUGCCCGAUUUCCUUCCUAAACUGGCGCAGCCGACCGUUGCAGAUCUGGGAGCCGUUGGCGCACCGGACAUGUCCGGUGCACACCGGACAGUCCGGUGCCCCCUUCCGACCGUUGGCCCGGCCACGUGUCGCGCGCAGAUUCCGCGGCCGACCGUUGGCCCGACCGACCGUUGGCUCACCGGACAGUCCGGUGCACACCGGACAGUCCGGUGAAUUUUAGUCGUACGCCGUCGGCGAAUUCCCGAGAGCGGCCACUUCACGCCGAGUCAGUCUGGCGCACCGGACACUGUCCGGUGACCCACCGGACAGUCCGGUGCUCCCAGACUCAGCAGAUUCUUGGCUGCUCGAGCCAAGACAUUUCCAAUUGGAUUUUUCCUGUUUCCAGCACUUAGACACAAUACAUUAGUCCAUAAAACAAUGUACUAAGUCUAAGAAACAUACCUUAAUUCUUGAUUUAUACUUUGUCCACCUUUUUACACUUAGGCACUUGUGUUGGACACUAAAUCACCAAAACACUUAGAAAUGGCCCAAGGGCACAUUUCCCUUUCAAUCUCCCCCUUUUUGGUGAUUUAUGCCAACACAACAUAAAGCAAGUAGAACAAGUACAGAAUCAAAUCAAAUAAGAACUCAAAAUUGUUUUGAUUCAAUUUUGACAUAUAUGGAUCACUCUAUGCCACCACUUGGUUUGUUUUUUGCAAAUCCAACUCAAAUUUCUAUCUCUAAGUCAAACACACAUGUUAAGACAUAAAGAGAGUCAUUCCAAGAGAAAUUGAUUCAAGAUUUCAAAAACUCCCCCUUUUUCCCAUAAUCAACACUUCUCCCCACAAGAAGCCAACUUUUGACAAGAGAGACAACAAAAGAGUUUUGACAAACCAAAAGCUCUAUUCUACUGUUUUCAAAAUCUCUCAAGUGGUAGCUGAUCCAUUUAUCGCUUUGGCCUUUAUUUUCUCCCCCUUUGGCAUCAAGCACCAAAACGGGAUCAAUCUUGGCCCUUUAACCCCAUUGCCUCACCAAAAUCUUCAACUAAGAGCAAAUAGGCAAUAAGAGUAUAAAGAUGAACUUGGAAAAGUUACUCUUUUCAUCGGAGUGCAGUGGAAGUCUUGCAUGGUCCAAGUCCACCUUUUCCCUUUCAAUUCUCCUUGGAGACUAAAACAACCAAACUCAAGUACAUGGUUAGUCUCAAAGGGUCAAGUUGUAGCACAGCUCCCCCUAAAUAUGUGCAUCACUUGCAAACAGGACUUGUAAGGUCCAGGGAGUGUUUGUACAACUUGAGCACCACAUUAAGCAACAAAAUGCAGAAUGAACAUGAUCAAAGGCAUAAACAUAUAUAUGCUACAUUUCAAUCCAAGUUCCGCGAAUCUAAGAUAUUGAGUGCUAGAAAUAUGCCCUAGAGAUAAUCAUAGAGAUGAGCAUAUUUCUUUGUAUCCAUGAUAUAUAUAUUGCUUAAUUGAAUAUCCAUGGAAGGCACCUUGUAUUGAUUAGCAAUUAUGUGAAUUGUUUGUGAGAUUCUUUACUUAUAUGGUUAUUCUAAAUGAUGUCCCUAGUCAGAGUCGAUGACUAGCACAUGUAUUAGUUGAUGACUACAUUUCACAAGUCAUGAACAUGGAGAUGUUAAACUAAUAAUGUGGGCGCAUGUAUGACAUGAGGCUGGACCGACCCAACGUGAGAUAUUGUAAUAUAGUUCUCUUCUUGCAACAUGAAUACUGUAUCCUUAGACCUGAGAUUGUCGCAUGUUCUCAAGAUGUGAAUUGACUUACUUAGGGACUAUCAAACGCUAUCCCGUAACUGGGUAGUUAUAAAUGUAGUUUUGGGUUUGUCAGGAAGCAUGCUAUGAGGCAUGGUCAGUCAAGAUGGAAUUUGUCCCUCUCUUUGUGAGAGAGAUAUCUCUGGGCCCCUCGAGUGAUUGGAUCAAGAAAUGCAUGGCCGUGCUAGGGUUAAGAGUUAACCAUUGAAAGGAUUCCAAUUCACAGUAUCGAGAAAGAGAGGUCAGCUUAGAGCCAGACCAAAUAUCGUGAGACAAAGGGAACAGCAUGUACGUAAUGUCGCAAUGGUUCGUCUGAUAUGAUCUUUACGUACACAUAGGAGUUGACAUGUCUUGCUAGAGGCCGCUGUCAAUUAUUGGGCCAAGUAAGAGUACUCGGCCUAUGUCUAUUUGUACGUGAACCUAUAGGGUCACACACUUAAGGGGAAGGAAGCCUAAUUCGGAUUAGAUCCGAAAUUAGACUGGGCUUUAGGGUUAAUGAUGGGCCUCGGCGUCAGAAGCCCACCAUAACGCCUAUAUAAUGAGGGGCGGGGGCGCAGUUAAGGAUAACCUAAUUCGCCACCAGCGAACUAACAGCCGCCGCCCACCUCUCGCCCUCGCCAAGCCGCCGUCGCGAACCUAGCAGUUCGGUACGCGGCGCUUCCUCCCUGUACGUGUGGAUACCUCGGAGGUGCUACAUCUGGAGCACUUGGGCGAACCGUGCGAGGACGUGAAGGACGCCGGCGACUGCACGGCACUGCUCGACGCGUUCGUCUACAUCGAGACGUCUUCCGCUGCUCUGCGCGUCUAGUGGUAAUUCCAUGACCUAUAACCGCAGUAGUUCUUGGUAUUAUGGGGAUGAAAAUUUUUGUUUUGCGCUAGCGUAGCCUCCCCGUAAUCCUACAUUGAGCUCACUACGCAGCCUGCAAAAGGUCUUCUCAUCUAGAGGCUUGGUAAAGAUAUCGGCUAGCUGGUUCUCGGUGCUAACAUGAAACACUUCGAUAUCCCCCUUUUGCUGGUGGUCUCUCAAAAAGUGAUGCCGGAUGUCUAUGUGCUUUGCGCGGCUGUGUUCAACAGGAUUUUCCGCCAUGCGGAUAGCACUCUCAUUGUCACAUAGGAGUGGGACUUUGCUCAGAUUGUAGCCAAAGUCCCGAAGGGUUUGCCUCAUCCAAAGUAGUUGCGCGCAACACUGUCCUGCGGCAACAUACUCGGCCUCAGCGGUGGAUAGGGCAACGGAGGUUUGUUUCUUAGAGUUCCACGACACCAGGGACCUUCCUAAGAAUUGGCACGUCCCUGAUGUACUCUUCCUAUCGACCUUACAUCCAGCAUAGUCGGAAUCUGAGUAUCCAACCAAGUCAAAGGUAGACCCCUUUGGAUACCAGAGCACGAAGCAAUGCGUAGCAACCAAAUAUCUAAGAAUUCGCUUCACCGCCACUAAGUGACACUCCUUAGGAUCGGAUUGAAAUCUAGCACACAUGCAUACGCUAAGCAUAAUAUCCGGUCUACUAGCACAUAAAUAAAGUAAAGACCCUAUCAUUGACCGGUAUGCUUUUUGAUCAACGGACUUACCUCCUUUGUUGAGGUCGGUGUGUCCGUCGGUUCCCAUCGGAGUCUUUGCGGGCUUGGCGUCCUUCAUCCCAAACCGCUUCAGCAAGUCUUGCGUGUACUUUGUUUGGGAGAUGAAGGUGCCGUCCUUGAGUUGCUUCACUUGGAACCCAAGGAAGUAGUUCAACUCGCCCAUCAUCGACAUCUCAAAUUUCUGCGUCAUUACCCUGCUAAAUUCUUCACAAGACUUUUGAUUAGUAGAACCAAAUAUUAUGUCAUCGACAUAAAUUUGGCACACAAAAAGAUCACCAUUGCAAGUCUUAGUAAAAAGAGUUGGAUCGGCUUUCCCAACCUUGAAAGCAUUAGCAAUUAAAAAGUCUCUAAGGCAUUCAUACCAUGCUCUUGGGGCUUGAUUAAGUCCAUAGAGCGCCUUAGAGAGCUUACACACAUGGUCGGGGUACCAUUCAUCCUCGAAGCCAGGGGGUUGCUCUACGUACACCUCCUCCUUGAUCGGCCCGUUGAGGAACGCGCUCUUCACAUCCAUUUGGUACAACCUAAAAGAAUGGUGAGCGGCAUAUGCUAGCAAGAUACGAAUUGAUUCUAGCCUAGCCACAGGAGCAAAAGUCUCCUCAAAGUCCAAACCUGCGACUUGGGCAUAACCUUUUGCCACAAGUCGAGCCUUGUUCCUCGUCACCACCCCGUGCUCGUCCUGUUUGUUGCGGAACACCCACUUGGUUCCCACAACAUUUUGCUUGGGACGAGGCACCAGUGUCCAAA
rnacentral:lncRNA from 1 species